GCAUCAUUUGGUGGAUCACCACCAUCUUGAGGUUGAUCUUGCCCUUGAUCUUGUUCAUGAGGUUGAGAGCCUUCACUUUGUUCUUCGGAAGCGUGUGGGUCUUGGGUUGGUGAUGGCUCCACUUGAGUGGAGCAUUGUCCUUCUCCUUCGGCCACAAGGGGUUCCUCAAUGGGUAGGAUAUAACCAACACCCAUUAUUCUUAUGGCUUGGGAGGAAUUUCAUCACCUACAUCACAAGUACCACUUUGCCCCACUUGGGAGCCGUUAUUCUCAUCAAACUCCACGUUACACGUCUCCUCAAUAAGUCCCAUGGACUUAUUGAGAACACGGUAAGCAUGGGAGUUUGUAACAUAACCAACAAAUAUGCCCUCAUGAGCUCUAGACUCAAAUUUAGACAAACGAACGCCUUUCUUGAGAAUGAAACACUUACACCCGAACACCCGAAAGUACUUGAGGUUGGGCUUGUUACCGGUGAGUAUCUCAUAUGGAGUCUUGUUCAAGCCUUUGCGGAGAUAGAGCCGAUUUGAAGCAUGACACGCGGUGUUGAUGGCUUCGGCCCAAAAGUUGUAUGGAGACUUGAACUCCGCCAUCAUGGUCCUUGCCGCAUCCAUCAACGUCCGGUUCUUCCUCUCCGCAACACCAUUUUGUUGAGGGGUGUAAGGUGCGGAAUAUUGAUGCUUGAUCCCCUCAUCACUAAGAAACUCAUCCAAGGUGUAGUUUUUGAACUAGGUUCCGUUGUCACUUCUUAUUGUCAAGAUCUUUGCAUUGUGUUGACGUUGGGCUUCAUUUGCAAAGUCAAUGACGGUUUGUUGGGUCUCACUCUUCCUCUUGAAGAAAUACACCCAAGUGUAUCUUGAAUAGUCAUCCACAAUUACCAAGCAAUACUUUCUACCCCCAAGACUAUCAAAGGAUGGAGGCCCAAAGAGAUCCAAAUGAAGGAGCUCCAAAGGCCUCUUCGAGUAAAUGAGAGUCGUGGGAGGGUGAGCCUUCUCAUGAAGCUUUCCUUCGAUACAAGCACUGCAAGCACGAUCUUUAGCAAAACUAACGUUCGUUAGUCCAUGGACAUGGUCCCCCUUGAGAAGACUUUGCAAAGAUCUCAUAUUGACAUGGGCUAAACGGCGAUGUCAAAGCCAUCCCACGUCAACUUUAGCCAUUAGGAAUGUCGCGGUCUUAGUGGGUCGCUCCGAAAAGUUAAUCACAUAGAGACCGUUCUCGACAUGCCCAACAAAGGGCACUUUAAGAGUCUUGCUCCACAAGAGGGCCACGGUAUCAAUAUCAAAGAAAGUGGCAAAGCCCAUGGUAGCAAGUUGACGAACGGAAAGUAAAUUGUAUGCAAGGGACUCAACUAGCAUGACCUUCUCGAUCGUGAGAUCAUGAGAAAUGACAACUUUGCCGAGUCCCAAUACCUUAGAAGACGAGGCAUCACCCCACUCGACAUUGGUGGGCAUAGAUGAAAUCUUGUGCACGUCCACCACCAAGUCCUUGCUUCCGGUCAUAUGAUUUGUAGCUCCACUAUCGAGCAACCAUGAUCCCCCACCGGAAGCAAACACCUACAAGAGAUGAAUGCUUGGUUUUAGGUACCCAUUUUGUAAUGGGUCCUUUGAUGUUAGUAACAAGGGUCUUAGGAACCCAAAUGGACCAUUCAAUAUACUCAUGAGGAGAACCAACAAAUUUGGCAUAAACAUGCCCAUCACUUGCACGGCAUAACACAUAAGAAGGAUUAAAGUCGCCGGCUUUGUUGGAUGGGGUGGUAUUGCCCUUCUUGACCCCGUCACCCUUUGCAUUGUUCUUCUUCUCCUUGGAAGCACCCUCUCCCUCCUUCACAAAAGUUUGCUUGACAGGAGGAGGUCGUUUGGUCUUUUCAUUCUUCUUCUUGUUCUUGGGCUUGGGUGCGAACCCAAUGCCCUCCUUGGCCACAACUUCCUUUUGGUUUCUCAAAAGGUCGUUGAGGUUCUUCUCACCUUGUAUGCAUGACACAAGGCCUUUAUCAAGUUGCUCCUUCAACUUAGAAUUCUCAUCGACAAGAUGCACAUGCUCACAACAAGGGUUAGUAGCAUUUGCAUUAUCAAUUAACACCAUAUGAGGAAAGGUGGAUUUCUCCUUAGUUAGCUUUACUUGGAGUUGAUCAUGAGACUCCUUGAGGCUAGCAUGAACGCCCUUCAAGACUUUGUGAGCCUUGUCAAGAAUGUCAAACUCCUCUUUAAGUCUAGCAAGAUCAACCCCAAGUUUUGCCUUCUCGGAGUUUAGCACACGAGACACAACAAGAGCAUGAUCAAGAUCUUUCUUUAACUUAGAAUGAUCAUCGUUGUAUGACUCCUCAAGAGCCAAACGAAGACCACGCUCUUCGUCACGAGCAUUGGAAAGAUCCAAAAUCUCAUCGGCAUAGUCACGACUAUGCCCCUCCAUCUUAGAGAUGGUAUCUUCGUGAGCCUCGAUCAUGUCAUUGGCUUCACCAAGUUGUUCCAAGAGAGCAACGAAGUGCUUCUUGGAUUUACCCUUGAGUUUACCCAUAAAAGUCUCAAACUCAUUUUCCUCCACAUUUGUCCCCUCAUGUUCAUCAAUGCUAUCCGUCGAAGAAGGAUGAUUAAUGAUGGUAGUUUUGAUGUUGGAGGUUACUUUAUUGGUGGCUUUAGCCAUGAGGCACUUGGCGGUGAUGUUCUCAUUGGGUGAGUCGAAGAGAGACACCCGUGAUCUGGUGCUAGGGUUUGAGCAAUCCCCAUUUCAAUUUUCAAAUAAAUUUAGACAUGAUGCAACAACCAAGCUAGUCCAAGUGCAUAGCAAAGCUAAGGAUGUGACAAUGCUCGAGCUUGAGCUUUGUAGUUUGAACUUAUGUCAUUCGAAUCGCUCGAAGGGGGACAUGGAUCAGUUAUGCAUGUCUUUGCCACUUGAUCAUUUGUAGUUUGAACUUAUUUCAUUCAAAUCGCUAGAAGGGGACAUGAAUCGCUAGAAGAGUGUCAUUUGUGGAUGUAAUGAACUAUGCUCAAUUAUUGAUGUCUUUGCUACUCGAUCAUUUGUGGAUGUCAUGUGUGGAUGCUUAGUUCAUAGAAGUUUGUAAGAAAUGGAAAGACAAAGGGAUAUAAAACAAAUGAAGGGGGGCAUGAAUCAGCACCCUACCGCCAUAGGCUUCGGCGGUAGGGUGGCCAACCCUACCGCCACAAAAAUGCCCGAUUUGGUCACAGAAGAAGCAGCAGAGCAGGCAUUUGGGUGGCCAACCCUACCGCCAUAGGCUUCGGUGGUAGGGUGGCCAACCCUAUUGCCAAAAAAUGUCCGAUUUGGUCACAGAAGAAGCAGUAGAGCAGCCGGUUGGGUGGCCAACCCUACCGCCAAAAAAUGCCCGAUUUGGUCAAAGAAGAAGCAGCAGAGCAGCCGGUUCGGUGGCCAACCCUCCCGCCAUAGGCUUCGGCAGUAGGGUGGCCAACCCUACCGCCAAAAAAAUGCCCUAUUUGGUCACAGAAGAAGCAGCAGAGCAGCCGUUUGGGUGGCCACCCUACCGCCGUCGCCCUUGGCGGUAGGCUAGCCAACCCUACCGCAAAACAGGGGAGAUUUUGCGCUCCAGCAGGUUAGCUGUUGGGAUUCGCGGCCUACCGCCAGGCCUUAUGGCGGUAGGGUGUCAGAACCUACCGCCGGGGCUUCUGGCGGUAGGGUGCAAAGCAGAGCUAUAAUUUACUCUGUUUUCCAUCUUGUUCAUCAUUUCUAAUUGACAGCAAAAACAACAGUAUAACAGAUGUAGUUCAUGACAUAGUUUCAACACAACUUUCACAAAUCAAAGACACAGUUGACGACAUAGUUCAACACAAGUUUCGCAAAUAAAGUACAUAGUUCAACACAAGUUUCACAAAUCAAAGACACGGUUCAUCACAUGUUUCUCGAAGCGAAGGCAUAGUUCAUGACUAGUUUUUCGAAAGUAAGGCCUUAUUGAGUCACACGAGGCCAUUUUCCUUUCUUGUCGCGUGCCUCAUCCUGCUCUUGGGCUUCACGAGCCCUUGCAAGCUUUCUUGCUCUCUCCUCUUGACGAGCAAUCUUCUCCUUGCGUGCCCUCUCCUCUUCACGCUUCUUUCGCUCCAUCCUCUCCUUUUCACGACGCUCUUCAUCCAAGCCUCUCUGAAAUGCUUCUUCAAACAACCGCUGCCUCCUUAGACAAUCUCGAUGUUGAUCUUCUUAACAUCUACUGGCACAUCUUGAUCUAUCCAUGUGAAGUACUUACAAGGUGGAGGCGGCGACUACGUACGAAUAAAGAACAAAUGUGGUCAUUAGUAAGAUAGAUUCAAUGGUUGACGACAUGUUUGAACUUGAACAACUUACCGGCGGGACAUCAUAGGCGUGAGCUGGACGAGGACGAUCGUAGGCAUAGUUGGGACAAAAAAAUAUCUUCUUCCUUCCGUCCAUGAUUUCUUGCGGUCGGUGGAUACCUUAACUUUGCAAACAUCUCCACACCAACAUGAUGGUUUCCCAUAUCUUUGUCCUUCACCUUAUCCAACUCGGCGUCUGUCCACUUGUCCGGCAUGUCCUCACGGUUAGAACACGGUGGCCUCGUCACGGAACUGGAAGAAGCCAUGCCUAUAAAGACAAAUUUGGUAGUUAGUAAAGUAAAAUAACAUGUAUGUAUGCAAAAAAAAACAAGACCAAAUAACAAGUACCAUUCACAUUAUUUCAACCAUCUGGGUUAAGCAAGAUGUCAAUACGCCUUCCUCUAUCAACCCUUCUCGUCCUACGACCACGGCCACCGGUACCCGACCGUCCCCCGCGCCCUCUAAUACUGUCUCCUCGUCCACUACCGCCAAGAUUCGUCCGUCCUCCACGCGCACCACUCCUGCCUCCUUGUCCACUACCACUCCUACCUCCUCGUGUGCCACCGGUACCUCCUCUUGGGGCACCACUUUGACUAGGAUCCGGAGUGUUGGCAUCGGUCCGUGGCUUUUUGGUGCAUUUCCUAACAUUGUGUCCCGGCUCGUCACAUUUACCACAACUAUUGAUGUCCGGUGCCUCCAUGAAAUGGCCGCUACCAAAUUGUUUCAUUCCGGUGUAUCCAGCUAGGUCAUCCAUGUCACCCCUAAACCUCUUCUUUCUUCUUCUUCCCUUUGUAGGCACCAUGAGUUCGGGGUCGGGGACGAUGUGUCGCCCAUCAUACUCAGGCCACUGUGACUGAUCUAGGAAGGGAUGAAACCUAGGAGCCCAUGUCAACCUCGUUCGUUCCAAUGUGAACUCAUGCAACCGCAAGGUGGUACCAUCGGAUACUUUCAAGUUUCUGAACCUUGCGGCGGUCAUCACAUGCGAGCAAGGCCAAUGAUACUUGUGAGGUCUCUCGCAUUGACACCACCGGGUCUUGAGGCGCACCUCAUAUGCUACUCCACCGUAUGUCAUGCCGUCACUUGUUGUGCCACCCGGCUCAUCGACUUGGUAGAUUUGUUCUUUUUCAUUGAAACUAAUGAUUUAUUGACUCCAAGACUUGCGCGCUUGAUGCUUCAACCAAUCCUCAACUUUGAAGGGAAAUUCUAUUUUCUCACCUAUCCAUUUGGCCGUCUCUUCGGAAUGCCUCAGAAAAUACUCGUUGAGCUUGAAGAAGGUAUAUUUCACUAUUGCAGUGACCGGUAAGGAACGGACACCCUUGAGCACAUUGUUGAAGCAUUCCACCAUGUUACUUGUCAUGUCUCCGUAUCGGAAACCUCCUUCGUCGUAAGCACGUGACCACUUAUGCUUCUCCGGAAAAUUCCUUGUCAAGAAUUCUCUCCCUCCUUUGUUCUUCUCCAACGCCUUGAAUAACUUAUCAUAGCGGCUUUGGAAUGUGUCGGUGUUGAAUGCCACACAAACAUGGGUAAGAUCUUUGCAAAACUCCUUACUCUUGCAUGCACGGUAAAAGUUUGCCACGAAAUGCCUCAUGCACCAACGGUGUUGGAGCUUUGGAUAGCCUGGAAUGUCAACUUCUAUUGCUUUGAGAAUCCCAAGAUGGUGAUCCGAUAUGAUGCACACCUCUCUUUUGAGGCCAAUCACCUUCGUCCUCACAUGAUCCAUAAACCACUGCCAAUUAUCAUCGUGCUCGGAAGGCACCAACGCAAAUGCCACCGGCAACACAUUGUCAUUGGACGAGCGGGCCAUUGCUACCAUCAACGUGCCCUUGUACUUUCCGGUCAAGAACGUGCCAUCAAUUGACAACACGGGGCGGCAAUGCCUAAAUGCAUCGAUGCAUUGCCCGAAGCUCCAAAAAGCUCGAUGAAACACUCCCUCUAUUGACUCGACCCUAUGGCGCAUGCCCGGGUUCCGAUGAGCAAUGGCUCCCAACAUUCUCGGAAGAAUGUUGUACGCGGCGACAUAAUCACCAUGCAACAUCCUUAUAGCAUUUGCCUUCGCCAUCCACGCCUUUCCAUACUUGACCGGGUACCCGAAUCUUUCGAAGACCGAACUCAUGAGGAACUUCACCUUCACGGUUGGAUCAUGGGAUAUCUCAUUCAAAAAUUUAUAGCCUAGAUACUCGGACAUGAGUUGGCGGUGUCCCUUGCUUCGGUCCGCUUUCUCCGGCGGUAUGCACUUGUGGGUGGCCACACAACUCUUCAACUCCCAUUGCCUGGUUUCCUUGAUCUUUCUUCCACGGACCUUCCAUGGGCAACCUUCUUUGUCACAUUUGAUUGCGUAGCGCAAUUUUUUGUUGGAAUGACCAACAACGAACGGCCUAUGGUUCCGAAUGGCAUAGUCACUCAACCAUAUCUUGAACUAUUGCAAACAACCAAAAUUGAUCCCUUUCUUCAAAUGAGCAUUCUCGUCCUCACCCGGUGGCCUUGGAUCACCUAUCCUCGGGCAAGGUGAUGGUUCGAUCAAGCCCAACCUCAUGCCACCAUCAACAACGGCCUUGUCGGCAAGGCUAAGAUCACGAAACAAAGAGGGUCCUCUUUCCUUACCAGUGACCUUCUUGUAAAUUUGAUUUUCUUGCGGCGUGAAUCCAUCCUCACCCAAUUCUUCCGGUGGACCCUCAUCAUCUGACUCAUACCUACACAUACGGCUAUAAGGGAGGUUCCGGUCCAUGUCUUGUUGAUGCACAAUGACAUCCAAGUCACCAAUGGGAUUGUAAUGAAUCUCUUCUUCUUCCGCAUACACAUCAUCUUGAGCAAUAGCAUCUCCAUCAACAUGAGCAAUGGCAUCUUCAUCAACAUGAACAUUUGCAUGUUCAUCAACAUGAGCAACGGCCUCAUCUCCAACAUGAUCAUCACCUACAAGAACUAUUGCUCUAGCAUUGAUGUCCUCUUCAUUUGGUUGGCUACUUAGUGGUUGGCUAGCCGCAUUGUGGUCAUACACCACGACAGCAUCAUGUAUUGGGGAGGACACAUUCCGGUUCAAGUCAAAUAGUGGCCGAGGAACUUCAACCAUUACUUGUCUUGUGGCAAAUAACUCAAGUGACUUGUCUUGUGAUCCCUCAACUUUCUCCUUAUACACAUCCCAAUGCAAUUGAGAGGUGAUGGGCAUACUCUUUAAUCGGGAUCUUACUCCCACUCCCACAUCAUACCGUCCAAUAAGCUUCACACCAUCACUUGGGUUAAUCCAUUUGAGAACGCUUCUCACUUUCACGAUAAUAUCAUCAUAGCUCAGGCUUGUGUCAAAAACCAUGGCCUCCUCCCCUUCGUCGGCAUUUCCAUCCAUGAAAACCGCCUUGUCCAAAUAAUGCACGUUCACUAGUUUAUCCAUCUAAAAACAAUGAAACAAAAUUGAGUCAUCCAUGGACCGGCCAUUUCAUAUGGAUGAACCAUCUAAAAUAUAACAUUUGAAUCUAAGAUCUAGUAUACCUUAAUCAUAGCACUAACCCUAACCCUAACCUAACUAAACCCCAAACCCUUACACUUAAGAUAGCUUGCCACAACAAAGAGUGACACAUAUUACUUAGGUCAACCAUAAAUACACCAUAAAUGCCCCAUAAAUGUGCCAUAAAUGCACAAUAAAUGCUAAACUAGAGGAAGAACUAGGGGGGUUGCAAAACUAGUUGAUUCCAACAAAACUAGAUGAUUUCAACCAACCAAAUAAAGGGGGAUGGGGGAGGUACCUUGGGUGAUGCAAAUGGCCUCGAUCCACGGGACAAAUCUCAAGCAAUGGAGGGGGAUCUAGUGGGUGCUUGGGUGGGGGAGAAAAGGGGGAGAGAGUGAGAGCUCGGGGAGGAAGAAGAUGAGUGGAGUGGGUGGGUGGUGAGUGGACACCACCAAACCUUAUCCUCCAGGACCCUACCGCCAGAGACCUCAGCGGUAGGGUGUUGGAGCCUACCGCCAAGGCGGGCGGCGGUAGGCCCCUUUGCCACGUCAGACCCUGUUAACGGCCAGACGGCCGUCAAAGCAACCUACCGCUAGGGUGGACGGCGAUAGCCUGUACAUCCCUACCGUCGGGGUCUAUGGCGGUAGCCAAAAGGGUCAAAUGUCGAAAAAAUUCAUAACGGGGUCAGAUCUCGAUUUUAUACGUGGAAAGGGUCAAAACACGAAAUUUGGCCUGGCCUCGCCCGUGGCCGGAAGCCGUUGCUGGCCGGCUCUGCUGUGACUGCUAGUAACCACUUCACUGUGCGACGCUGUGGAUCACGGAUCGGUUUCCAGCACUGCAGUGCACCGCCGGCCUCGUCGCCCGCUCGCUCGCGUUGGGCCAGUGCAUGGAAUUGCACGAUGCCGAUCUAGCGGCCUCUAGUCUAGCUGGACCACUCGCUCCGAUCCAGCGGCGAGCCAUGGGUGUGUUGGUGUAGAGGUAGAGCGCAUCAAUAAUUGUGCUACGAGGGUGUGCCCGCCCGGCGGCGCUGCGCCUCUAUCCACCACCUUUCCUGUUACCGCAAGCCCGCCCGACUCGCCGGAACACGGAGCUGGAGUAGAAUGUCGAAAGAAAAAACUUGGGGAUGGUCGAAAUGGUGUCCAUUCAGUGAAAGCAACUCCGGUUAGAAUCCUAUUCCUAUGAAUGAAUUCUUCGUAUCCUCUACAUUUCAUAGGAAAAUAAACAUUAGCCUAGAUGAAAAGAAUCCUAUGAUGUGAACCACAGAGCAUCUUCAUUUAUAUUCCUAUUCAUAAGAUUUUAGAUACAUGUCAUCUCAUUCCCUGUGAUUUUCUUAUUCGUAUGACUUUUCUAUCCUAUGAACGAAAGGAGGCCUUAAUGAAAGCAACGGGAGAAGGGACAAGCUAGUGUGGCAGAUUGUACGUACUACUGAAUUCUGCACCCAUGUUAGAUUUUGCAAUGGUCAUUUUGGAGUGGCUGCGCCUCCGGUUAGAGCAUCUACAACCGGACCUCUCAAAUCCGUCUCAAACACCUGGACAGGCCGCCCGGUCGCUGCCCGAUCAUGAAAUUUGGACUCAGACAGGCCACUCAGAUGGCCCUCAAACGCUCGGGCUGACCGGCAUCCCCCAUAUCCAGCCCAAAUAUGGGUCAGAUAUGGGGGUGUCCGGGCACGCUCGUCACGUCGGACCCGAUCCAUAAUGGCCCACCCGACCCCACUUAUAUUCGUUCCCAUCCUCUCACCAGACCAAACCAUAACCACUUCACUCCACUCCCAUCCACCACCCGAGCUCAUCUCCAGCAGUUUGCGACCUUCUCCGCCAUGGCAUGCAGCGGAUCGGACUCCGACCAGUCUGGAUCCGUCGACAGGGGUGUCGUCCCAUUUGGGUUGAAGGAGGCAAUGGCAGUCCACAUUGCACUCCACCGCUCCCGGGAGGACAAUGGCCGUCCGACGGACGGAUCCGUCCGCCGUGAUGCCAUAGCGUCGGCUCACCGGGCGCUCGGGUCCUCUGGUGCUAGAUCCUCGCGGUCCCGGCCGAAACACCUCUUGUUGAGGAUAUAGACCUUAGAGUCACCCGCCAGGAGGGGCCGGGUUACUCAUACGGUCGUUGCCAGAAGCCCGGAGCCAAGUUUCAAGACGAUGGGCCAAGAGAUGGGCUGAGACCCGGAUAUGGCUUAAGGCCCGUAGUCAUAAUCAUUAUUAUAGUAGAACUUGUAGCGUAAGGCAAGCAUAGUUUAGAGGCCGAGCCGGAUACUCUUAUAAGCCGGCCGGGACUCUAAGGGCUGCUGGGCGUCAGCCUCCCUAUAUAAAGGGACGACCCGGCAGCGGUUUAAGGGCGACAACAAUCUCAUCGAGAGCCGGGCAUAACAGUUUAACUCCCUGGUGAUCGAAACCCUAAUCAAUACCACCUCAAACUGGACGUAGGCUUUUACCUUCACCGUAAGGGGCCGAACCAGUAUAAACCCUCGUGUUCCUUGUCCCGCAUUAACCCCUUCAAGCUUCCUGGCUGCGAUGGCUCCACGACUAAGUCCUAGCUCGAGGACAUCUGCCGUGACAAUUCCACGACAGUUGGCGCCCACCGUGGGGCCAGCGCACGGUGGAUUUGAGUUCUUGAAGGGCAGCUUCGAAGGGCUCAAGGGAUACGCUGUGGGCCGGAUGACCAAGAGUCGUCGCGGCAAGCUCUACAUCGACGAUGCGGACUGGGGCCCCGACGCAGGCUCAAUUGAGUACGGAUACCGGGUCCCCUUUGGUGGAAUUCAUGUCUUCAUUGGCAAGAUUGGUGAGCCGGGCCCCGAGCCGGAUCUCUGCGCCGUUCUCAUCGAAACGGCUCAGCGCGCACAACCCGCCCGGGCCCGGCCUGCCUUAAGGCGCGCUUUUGUGGGAUGCAUCCAUGGAGGGCCCUCUGAUCCAUCUGGGUCUGGUGAUGAGGCGGCCGCCGGCUCUGACGGCGAGUCGGCCACCGAUGAAUCAAACUCGUUGUACCAACUUCAAGAUGGCAGGCUCAUGGGUUGUUCCGAUGGCGACAGUAUUCCGGACCUUUUUGAGCCGCCAAGUCAGGUGGGAGUUUUUAUGGCUGGUGCGCAGCCUGUUCAGAACCCCGCUGCUGGAUCGGGAAACCCGGUGCCUUCUCCGGCUCAGGUGCUGAUGGAUCUCACGGACAAGAUGACGGCCCUGUUAACUGCCGCGGUUGACCCGGCGAAUCAAGCUCAGCAUGAUGCGGAGGUGGCACAGUUAAAAUUGGAUUUGAUAAAAGCUAAGGAGGAUCUUGCAGCGGAGGGGAUCAGGCUGGCUGCGGAGCGGGCGGCCCUCGACGCCCGGACUGAGCUAAUUCAGGUGCAGUCCUUCCAACUCACAAUGGAUCAGAACGCGGCCAACGAGGUCAUGAGAAGGAGGCAUCAGAAGGCCCAGUCUCGACUCCCACCGGUUUACGAUCCACGCAAUCUCUUCAAUACACCGGGUGCAGGAUCUAGUAACCCGCCAGGGGUCAUUGCACCCGGGUCUGGUCCCCUUAUUCAGCCACGCGUGAUGGGGCCUCCCCAGGUGCCCCCUGCCCCGCCUCAGUAUGUGCGAAUACCCCCGGGUCAUUAUGAUAACCCGCUGGAGAACAUGGUGGCUGCGGCAGCACGACUGGCGGCUCUCCCCGUUGACGGCGACUCUCCGGCGGCCAUCGAAACCCGUCGGGUCAGGGAACUCCUGCAGACGGCACUAGCACAGCAAGAGGCGUACUCCUACAGCCGGGACAGGAUCCACUCGACCCCUCGUCCAGGCCAGAGCCCGAGUUACAGCCGGCACAUGGUCUCAGCAACCGGCUCAAGUAAUGUCCGACGCCAUGACCCGCCCCCUGGCGAUGGCCCGGUUCAUAAUGGAGCCUUUUACGCAGCAGGCCAAGCGCGGCAAGAGGCGGAGCAGGUGCCUCAAUUGACGGCUUACCAGACCCCCCCCCCGGCUUAUCCAACAACGUCCGUUGAUGUGGGUAUUUCUACCAGGACCGGGGGUGUCCCUUGUUUGGUGCCAGCCAUCCGUAAUGAACGGCUGCCUAAGGACUUCAAGGGCCCCAGGAAGGUGCCUAACUACACAGCGGACUUAUAGCCUGCAGCCUGGAUUGAGAGUUAUGAGAUGCCUAUGGAAUUGCUGGAGGUCAGUGAGGCGGCCAUGGCCAAAUAUUUCACCAUGAUGUUAGAUGGAACUGCCCGCACGUGGUUGAAAGGGUUACCGCCGAACUCCAUUGGGUCUUGGGCUGAGCUAAAAGCCCGGUUCAUUCAAAACUUCAAAGAUACCUGCAGGCAGUCUAUGUCAAUUGUGGAUCUGACUAACUGUAAGCAGCAGGAGGGUGAAUCCACGACCCAUUGGGUUCGCCGGGUCACGGAGAUCAUACAUUCAUCAGAUAAGAUGGAUGCCGGCUCUGCAGUCUUAAUGUUGGAACAGAACUGUCGCUUUGUGCCCCUUAGGAUGAAACUCGGGCGGCUUAAACGCGACUGCACCGAUAUGGGUACCCUAAUGGCGGCUCUUGUCAAGUACGCCGAUUCUGAUGGUACCAAGGAUCCCCCUUCAGACGAUGAAAGGACAGGGAAGGGAAAGAAGAACGGCCAUGGCAAGGGUCCUCAGUUUAACCCGGGGAACCAAGGAGGAGGCAAGCGUAAGGCCGAUGGCAGCCUAGAGUUUGUAGCCAACGCCAACUCCCAAGGUAAUAACCAGCGACGCAAGGGGAGGCCCCCUCCCCGAGGCGGCGGGUCAGGUCCAACGCUGGAGCAGCUGUUGAAUGAACCUUGUCCAAGGCAUGGCUCCAAAGAGAAGCCAGUGACUCAUCUGUGGAAGGAUUGCGCGAUCAUGAAGGCCUUUAAGAGCUACAAUGGCCCGGGCGGCGGCUCAGGUGCCGGGGGCUUUCAUGGCCCGGGCGGCGGCUCAAAUCCCGGUCCUCAGAACGGUCAAGGGGGCUUCAAUCAACAGUCUGGUCAGGGUCAUCAACAGCAACAGGGGGGUUAUCAGACCAACCCGAAGCAGCUUAGCGGUGGACAGUAUCAUGUAUUCACCACUAGUUUGUGCAAACGAGAUCAAAAGCUUCACAAGAGGGCUGUGAAUGCUGUUGAGCCGGCGGUUCCGCGAUACUUAAGGUGGUCUGAGAAGCCUAUAGUGUGGAGUAGGGAGGAUCACCCUCCACGGGUGGAUAACCCGGGCCACUUGGCCUUAGUGGUGGCUCCUCAGGUGGGAGGUUAUAAGUUCACAAAGGUACUCAUGGAUGGAGGCAGCAGCAUCAACAUCCUCUAUUACGAGACUUUUCGCCGUAUGGGGCUGGUUGAUAAGAACCUCAGCCAGUCAAACACUAUCUUCCAUGGUGUGGUACCUGGUAAGUCGGCUUAUCCAGUCGGCAAGAUCGAAUUAGAAGUGGCUUUCGGUGAUGAGAACAACUACAGGGUGGAGAAAUUAACCUUUGAGGUGGUCAAGAUAAGAAGUCCAUACCAUGCUAUAUUUGGACGGCCGGCUUACGCCAAGUUCAUGGCACGGCCGUGUUAUGUGUACUUACAGCUCAAGAUGACGGGUCACAACGGGACCAUUACGGUUCACGGCAGCCGGAAGGUGGCUCUCGAGUGUGAGGAAGGUGAUGCAGCUUACGCAGAGUCUGUUUGUGCAACAGAGGAGUUGAAGUUCUACAAAGACAAUGUUGACCCAACAGACAUGACCUCUCUAAAGAAGCCGACUACGGAGACUGAGCCGGCGAUGAAAUUUAAGUCGGCUGAUGAAACUAAGCUUGUUGACUUUGUUCCAGGAGAUUCAUCUCAGCAGUUUAGCAUCAGUGCCAAUCUGGAUCCAAAAUAGGAAAGCGCGCUCAUCGAGUUCAUCCGUGAGAAUAGGGACAUCUUUGCACGGAAGCCUUCUGACAUGCCAGGUGUACCUAGAGAACUCGCUGAGCAUACUCUCAAUGUUGAUCCAAAAUUUAAGCCGGUCAGACAGUUCCUUCGACGGUUUAACGAGGAGAGGCGGAAAGCCAUUGGUGAAGAAGUGGCCCGGCUCUUGGCGGCCGGGUUUAUUGUCGAAGUUUUUCACCCAGAAUGGUUGGCUAACCCGGUGCUCGUGCUCAAGAAGAACGGCACCUGGCGGAUGUGUGUGGACUACACAGAUUUGAACAAGGCGUGUCCGGCUGAUCCUUUUGCUCUCCCCCGUAUUGAUCAAAUCAUUGAUGCUACGGCAGGUUGUGCAUGCUUAAGUUUCUUGGAUGCUUAUUCCGGGUAUCAUCAGAUUAAGAUGGCAGUUAAGGACCAGGAGAAGACGGCAUUCAUCACUCCCUUUGGAGCCUUCUGCUAUGUUUCUAUGCCCUUUGGACUCAAGUGUGCACAGGCGACUUACCAGCGUUGUGUACAGAAUUGUCUUCAUAAACAGAUCGGGCGCAAUGUUCACGCUUACGUGGACGAUAUUGUGGUUAAAUCCAUCAAGGAGGAAACCCUGAUAGAUGACUUAAGGGAAACCUUCGAUAAUCUCCGGGUCUAUAAGAUGAUGCUUAACCCGGCCAAGUGUGUUUUUGGUGUUCCUGCAGGCAAACUAUUGGGCUUCUUGGUUUCUGACAGAGGCAUUGAGGUUAACCCGGAGAAGAUCAAGGCCAUCACCUCUCUAGCCAAACCAGCGUGUAUAAAUGACGUUCAGCGUUUGGCGGGUCGCAUCGCUGCUUUAAGCCGGUUUAUAAGCCGUUUGGGUGAGAAGGCUAUGCCCUUAUAUCAGUUGAUGAAGAAAACUGAUAGCUUUGUCUGGAAUGAUGCAGCUAAUACCGCUUUUGAGGAUUUGAAAAAGCAGCUGGCGGAGCCCCCAGUCCUUGCUGCUCCGGUUGAUAAGGAACCCUUGCUGCUGUAUGUGGCGGCAAACGCGCGAGCCGUCAGCGUGGCUAUUGUGGUGGAGCGCAAGGAGGCGGGUAAGGAGCAUCCAGUUCAGCGGCCGGUUUAUUAUGUCAGCGAGGUGCUCAUUGAGUCCAAACAGCGGUACCCGCAUUGGCAGAAGCUCGUAUAUGGUGUGUUCAUGGCGAGCCGGAAGCUUAAGCAUUAUUUUCAGGGUCAUCCCAUCACUGUGGUCAGUUCUGCCCCUCUUGGCGAUAUUAUUCAAAACAGAGAGGCCACAGGGAGAAUUGCUAAGUGGGCUAUAGAACUUGGACCUCAUGGCCUCAAAUAUGUGCCACGCACUGCUGUUAAAUCUCAGGCUUUGGUGGAUUUUAUCAACGAUUGGACAGAGUCACAAGUGCCUGAGCAAAAGCCGGAUAACACUUAUUGGACCAUUCACUUUGAUGGGUCCCGACAGCUGGAGGGCUCGGGGGCUGGUGUUGUAUUGGCUUCCCCUAAAGGUGACAAGUUCCAUUAUGUGCUACGGUUGAUGUUUCCUUGCACUAACAAUGCGGCUGAAUACGAGGCUUUGCUCCAUGGUCUUCGGGUGGCUAAGGAGAUGAGCUUAAGCCGGGUAAGGUGCUUUGGUGACUCAGACUUGGUGGCUCAACAAGUAUCAGGCACCUGGAAUUCUAAGGAUCCUCUCAUGGCGGCUUAUCGCCGCGAGGUUGAUGCCAUUGCUGGGCACUUUCAGGGAUACCAAGUGGAGCACAUUGAUCGCAGGAAGAACGAGGCGGCUGAUGCUUUAAGCCGGCUAGGCUCUCAGCGAAAACCGGUGCCGCCUAACACUUUCUUGGAUUUCCUGUAUAACCCUUCGGUUAGGUUGCCUACAGAGGAGGACUUGGCUAUCCCUGACCCGGAGGCACGACUGGUGGCGGCUCUUCAUGUCAUACCAGACUGGACAAUGCCAUACCUGGCUUAUAUAACCCGGGGAGAGUUGCCUGAGGAUGAAACUCUGGCCAGGCAAAUAACCCGGCGGGCUAAGUCAAUGAUCGUCAUCGAUGGCGAGUUACAUCAUCGCAGUGUUCCAGGGGCAUUUCAACAUUGUAUCUCCCCUGAGGAAGGCCAAGAGAUCUUGCGGGAGAUCCAUGAAGGGGAUUGUGGUCAUCAUGCCGGCUCAAAAUCUCUUGUAGCCAAGGCUUUCCGUCAUGGUUUUUAUUGGCUGACGGCUCACGCUGAUGCAGAGGACUUGGUCAGUAAAUGUGAUGGUUGCCAAAGGUUCUCACGACGGGCUCACGUGCCGGCUCAGGAGUUGAGGAUGAUCCCAAUCACUUGGCCCUUUGCGGUCUGGGGGCUUGAUAUGGUUGGGCCUUUUAAACGGUCCAAGGAUAAGAAGACCCACCUCUUGGUGGCAGUUGACAAAUUCACAAAGUGGGUGGAAGCUGAGCCAGUUAGCAAGUGCGAUGCAGCCACGACGGUUCAAUUUAUGAAAAAGGUGAUUUUCCGCUUUGGUUUUCCGCACAGCAUUAUAACUGACAAUGGCACCAAUCUCUCCAAAGGCGCCAUGGAAGAAUUUUGUCAACAAGAGCAUAUCCGACUUGAUGUUUCUUCAGUGGAUCAUCCUCAAUCCAAUGGUCAGGCUGAGAGAGCUAACCAGGAAAUUCUGAAGGGUAUCAAGCCCCGGCUUUUGGUCCCUUUACAACGAACGCCGGGUUGUUGGGUGGAGGAGUUGCCUUCCGUCUUGUGGAGCAUCAACACUACUCCUAACAGGUCUACAGGCUUCACGCCUUUCUUCAUGGUUUAUGGAGCAGAAGCAGUCCUCCCCAGCGACAUCCGUCACGAUUCGCCUCGUGUGGCGGCUUAUGUUGAGACGGAUAAUGAACAGGCGCGCCAAGAUGCUCUGGACUUGUUGGACGAACAGCGUGAUGUGGCAGCAGCCCGUUCAGCGAUUUACCAACAAGACCUGCGCCGUUAUCAUAGCCGCGGGGUCAAAUCCCGGGUCUUCCAGGAAGGCGACCUUGUGCUCCGGCUCAUCCAGGAUCAAACAGAUGCACACAAAUUAUCCCCACCUUGGGAAGGGCCCUUUGUGGUCAGCAAGAACUUGCACAACGGGUCAUAUUACCUCAUUGAUAUUCGGGAGCAUAAAGAUUCGCGUAAAUCUGAGGAGGAGACCCGUCGGCCGUGGAACAUAGCUCAGCUUCGGCCUUACUACACUUGAGCUACCGGCUCUCGUGGUGUACAUAUUUAUCUCAAACACAUAUAUAUAUUAUGAUAAGCAAUAAAGCAGGACCUCUGUCCUUUUUUCUCCUCCAAAUAUGCGUGUGUUGCUUUUUACAUGCUGACUUAAAGGAGGAUCCGGCUUAUGAUCGUAUUUGAAUCUAGCCGUAAGCAGUAAGGUCACCUGGGGGCUUCCUGUUCAAACAUGGGUCGUAUUCGAACCAAAGAGAACAUAACUGUCGAUACCCAUUUGAUUGGCAAAGUGCCGAGCUCAUUGGGAAGUUGCCUUUGGUCAUAUUUGAAUCACAGCUUAACCCCUCUGAGAGCCGACGUGGAUCGUAUUCGAAUCAGCGUCGUUAAACAAUUUUAAGAAUCACUUGGGGGCUUCCUGUUCAAACAUGGGUCGUAUUCGAACCAAAGAGAACAUAGCUGUCGGUACCCUCUUGAUUGGCAUCGCCACACCCACUGGGGGCUAUAUGAUCGUAUCCGAAUCUUAGCUUAACCCCUUGGGGCCGGGUCUUUGGUCGUAUUCGAACCGAAAGCCCCUAAGUUCUUCUGCUUUUUCACAAGUUUAUUCUGAGGUAUGCAUGGCCGGGUCUCACUUGCCGGCUUAACUUUGGUUUACAGUGUUAGUUGUUCGUCAUGGGUGUCAUUAAAGCAAGUAAAUCAGAGUUAAGGUGUCAACCUUACUGCCCGGGUUAUUUAAACCGGAAGAUGUCUACAGGCUGUUAAGUGUGUUAUUUUGGCUAUGUUCAGAGUAUAAUUAAGGACCGGCCUUUUUUGAUUCAUAUUCCGGGUUAUUUAUCUCAAACACCUGAUUCUCAGGGCGGUAAGCCACCUCGAGACUUGUGAUUUGCCUUUUCUAUGCAGAUAUUUAAAGGCAUCUUUUGAGGUUGAGAAAAACAAAGGGAUGAUUAUGACCCGGAGAUAUAUCAAAGAGACAAAUUCAAAGGGCUUUUGCAUUCAAAACAUGCACGAUGACACGGCAGAGAUAAAUUGUUGCACUUACUCCAUUACAAUAAUUUUUCAAGUCUAAAAGAUGGAACAAUGUUUGAUAAGCCGCCAGCUAACUUAUGAUGCCCGCUGAGUUGAAGUCCCCGGCUCAUUUCUGUCUUCUCCUCCGGCUGAUCCCAAGACCUCGAAGGUCGUUGAUUUCUAGUUGAUGCCGCUGAGAGCUUCGAACUGGGCUUCUUCGUCAAUUAACCCGGCCGGGUCAAUCUCCGGGGCGAAGGUGUGCUGACGAGCCGGAGGGAUCAGAUUAAGGGCUUCAUAGCGAGGGGUUGGAAUCCGUUGAUUCUCCGCAUCAUAACCCGGCUGAUACUUGGUUAAGUCGGUGUCGUUCCCGAUGAGGGUGGCCACAGGGCGUACAGCCUUCACACAUGCCGCGAAGUCCUUCUGGUCGAAGGCUGAGCCGUCUUCCUUCAGGCUUGGGUAACCCAGGGCGAUGUCUGCCGGGUCUAGCUCCGGCAGGAAUGCUUUGGCCCGGCUCAGCGCGGCAAUUGCUCCGGCUCUCGCGGAGGCCCGUCGUAGCUCCUGGAUCCGCUGCGGCAGAACAGCGAGCCGGCGCAGGACUUCGGCCAGAUGAGUUGGCACCUCGUUGGAUAGGGCCACCACAGCUAAGGCACGCUGUGACCCGGUGUAGAGUUGUUCCACCAGGGUGUACACGGCCUUUAACUUGGUGACCACGCUCUGGUUGAGGUUGGCACUCCUGGGACCUGUUUAACAAGAUCAGAUAAGCCGAUGACAAGGAUGAAUCAUGACAUAUACAGACUUGAUGAAAGCCGGUGAGGUGACUUACCGAAGAUAGCGGCCACCAUUUGGGAAACCUGGCGCUUUAGGCCGGAGAGCUCAGCGGUCUUCUCAGUAAGGGCCUUCUUCGCCUGUUCUGCCCAGGUUACCAGUGCGGCCUUCUCUUCGACCCAGGCUUUCCCCUCAGCAUCAAACUCGGUCUUCAACUUUUCUUGAGUGGCAAUGCUGGAUACAAACUUGGCGUUUGCCUUCCGGGUCUCCGUCUCCUGCAUCUUUAGCCGGCUCUUGAGAUCCGCAAGGUCCGCCUCUAGUUUCUUGCCAAUAGCCUGCAUGUAUUUCCGGGUUUAGUAACAGUUGAUUAUAUAAGUCCCAAGCGCCUUCCAAGCAAAGGCACUUGGCACUUGGGGGCUAAUGCAUAUUGAACGUAUCUAUCUACGUACUGCCGGCUCAGUUGCGUAAGCCGGAGCCUAAGUCUACAACAUAUUCAAGUAUAAGUCAUCGACUUGGGGGCUAGCAUGGCAAAGGUAACUAUGCAGUAAAGUAAGAAGACAGCAGAAGGGUACCUCGGAUUUUUGUUGGAUCUGGUUGACCAUGGCAACCUCGGCGUCCCGGCUCUUGUGGACUUGGCUGAUGUAGCCAGAGACGAGCUCUCCAAUGCUCAAGUCGGUGUAGCCGGAGAGAUUCAGGUUCACCCGGUGGGGCUGCAGUAACUCCCCCUUCGCGGAGCAUUUGGCCAACGCGGUCGGUCUCCCCGACUCAACGAAUUCCGUCCGGGUGAUGAUCACGUCCGGGUCGUCUGCUGGUGGAGCUGAGCCGGAGGCCUCCGGAUUAACCGAAGCUUCGAUUGUUGUCUUGGUAGUCGGGGCAGGGGCCUCAGGCGCCGUGUCCAUUGGAGUGGUGGCUUCGGGGGCGAAGGCAGUUGGCGGCUCUUGAGCCGUCGCCUCCGGUUCAGGCAAGUCUGGCACUCCGGCUGACCUGGUCUUCUUUGCUCUUUUGGUGAGCUUUGCCUGGGCACUGAAAAGGCAGAAGUGUUAGGCACACAAAGAGUAAGUACAGACAGAUAAUGUAAGGAGAUUGUUAUUACCCGGGUGCAGUCUUGAAGGCCGGCAGACUUGACUGCAUGGAGUCACCCGAAGAGGGGGAGGUCUCCUGAUAAUUGGAGUCAGAAGAGUUGAGUGACUGACGGAUAACACCCGCCAACGGAUGAAAAGGGUACAGGUGAGAAAAAACCUCAGUGCGACGCUUCCUUGUUGCGUCAGGUAACCCGGCGGAGAGGUCGGUGUCCUUGCGGGCCCGGGUGUGACGCCGGCUUUCGUGAACCUGUUGCUUCAAAAGAAAUUGAGGGUCUUGAUGAGCUAAUGGAUGUGAAAAGCUUACUUUCCGGGUUACUCUUCGGACUUUCAGCUGUGGCAAAGGCUCCGAGUCGGAGGAAAGUGACGUUACCUCUUCAACCACCGGGUUACUGGCGCCGGUGUCAUCCUGUCAAUAAGCAAAGUGUUGAUGAGGCGGACAGCAACAAACAGCAAAUAUAGCAAGAAUUUCAAGGUUUAAGGAUUACCUCUGACUCGGAGAUGUCGCUUAAUUGCAGUAGCUCCGAAGCAGUGGGUCUGCUUCCCUUUUUGCGAGGGGCGGUUUUCUUGGCGGCUUUCUUUGCCUUCCUGGCCUUCUUGGCCGCCUCAUGGUCAUAUUUGACCCGCCAGAAUUUAUCAUCAGACUGAGAGAUACAAUGAUUGAUUCUUAAAACGGUUCAGUUGAAGGAUGUAUGCAGACGAAGAUAAAAGUUAAAGUCAGCGGCUUACCGCUGGGGCUGGAUUGGUCUUGCAGAAGGGGGCUAGCCCGGUUCUUCCGCAGUCUGCCAAGCUCUCGUUUAAAAGAGCCUUGGUCUCUUCUUCUGCAACGUCUUCUGGAAGAUCAUUGCGACUGUGCCUCUGCGGGUCAUCUUUCGCCCGGUGUACUCACACAUUAAGCCGGGGCGGCGGCUCAAUGGGAUCACCCGCCAUGAGAUCCAGACCCGGACCAGAUCAAUUCCGUUCAGACCGUUGCCUAGCAGGGCCUUGAUCUUAUUGAUCGUUGGAAGCAGAGGCUGGCAUUCCGCGGCAGUCAGUUUGUCGGAUAGCGGAUGAGUCGGCUCUAGGCGCGUUGGGCGAAAGCCGGGCAGCGGGUUCUCAUCAGCCGGGGACGUAUCUUGGCAGUAGAACCAAGUCAUAUUCCAGUCCUUGGGGUGGCUUGGCGGCUCUGCGUAAGGGAACAGACAGUCCCUACGCCGCUGGAUGGAGAUGCCGCCUAAUUCCAGACUUGGCCCGUUGGCACACUCGUUUUGGCGGUUUAAGUAGAACAACUCUCUGAAAAGCAGUAAACUGGGCUCUUCUCCAAGGUACACUUCGCAAAAGACUUGGAAGUUGCAGAUGUUGGAUACGGAGUUGGGUCCUAUAUCCUGAGGCCGUAGGUCAAAGAAGUUCAGCACGUCCCUGAAGAACUUUGAGCCGGGCGGUGCGAAGCCCUGGCUCAUAUGGUCUGCGAAGAUCACUACCUCCCCGUCCCUUGGCUGUGGUCUCUCUUCCGACGGGUCAGGGGCACGGUAGGACAUGGUUUCCUUCUUAGGUAAAUAUCUGGACUUAACGAAAUUGGCCAGGGUCUCGUCGGUGACGUUGGACCUCAUCCAGUUGCAAGUGAUGGGAGCCUUGGGAGGCAUGGUGAAAGUUGGUGGUCUAUGAUAAAGAGAAAAGUGUCCGGGUUAAAUAUAAGCCGGAGAUAUAUUGUUCAAACUAAGAUGGCGGCUUAUGAAGGGGGCUAAUGAUAUAUAUUCAGAUACAGUGGGUUAUUUAAGCCACAGGGGGAUUCAGAGUAAGUUGGUUAUCUACGAUUUUACCACAGUUAAGCCGGAGGAUUCUAUGGCGCAUGUUCUCUUUAAGCCGGAAAUGUAAGCCGCCAAGAUUCAGUGGUUGCAGUUUUUACUAAGUGUGGUAAAACAGGUUUCACAUAUGGCAGUAACUUUUUUGGAUCAAAAUGGGCGGGUGGAAUGAAAACUUUCUAGACCUAGAAACAGACAAGCGGAUGUUUUUUGAGCUCGAACGAAACAUCUAUAUAGUAGAAGGAGAUCUACUGGUACUUGAAAUGAGGCCUAAACAACUACCGUGCUAGUUCUAUGCAAGGCUAAAGAUCAACCAAGUGCGGUGACUACGAAAGCUACUGAGGUUUGUGGCAAUGGCGAUGAACGCGAAGAACACAAGACGAACCCUACAGUAGAUCUAUCUGACAGGGCAAAGGAGACUCACCGGAGUUGGAAAAGAGCGGAGGUCGCUGCCGUGAAUCUGGUCCGGAUCAGGGUGAUGCAGCGGCCGGGUUGAUGAAGACCAGGGGCGCGACGGCGACGGCAGUGGCGGAGCUCGGGCGGAGGAGUGACGGCGCGAGGAGGAAGAAGAGGGCGUGAGAAGGACCCGUUGGUCCGGCCUAUUUAUAAGGCAAGGUCAUAAGUGGGCGCGAGAUUCAAGGAGACCGUGGCGUGAUUAUCUCCCCCUCACGACGCCUCGAUUUUCGGAAUGACAGUAAAGCAAAGAUCCGUUGCGGAUCUGGAGGAGUAAAAAACGGACUUAAUGGAGAAUGACGUCACGGCGGAUUAUCCGGAGUCCAGAGGAUGACGUCACUCCGGGUUAUGGCCUUCACAUGAAUGAUAAGCCGGAGAUUUUUUCCGUCAGAAGAGUUGAAGAUUGACAUGAGCCGGCUCAAAUCAAUCUGGGGCCUAAUGUUGAGGAUAUAGACCUUAGAGUCACCCGCCAGGAGGGGCCGGGUUACUCAUACGGUCGUUGCCAGAAGCCCGGAGCCAAGUUUCAAGACGAUGGGCCAAGAGAUGGGCUGAGACCCGGAUAUGGCUUAAGGCUCGUAGUCAUAAUCAUUAUUAUAGUAGAACUUGUAGCGUAAGGCAAGCAUAGUUUAGAGUCCGAGCCGGAUACUCUUAUAAGCCGGCCGGGACUCUAAGGGCUGCUGGGCGUCAGUCUCCCUAUAUAAAGGGACGACCCGGCAGCGGUUUAAGGGCGACAACAAUCUCAUCGAGAGCCGGGCAUAACAGUUUAACUCCCUGGUGAUCGAAACCCUAAUCAAUACCACCUCAAACUGGACGUAGGCUUUUACCUUCACCGUAAGGGGCCGAACCAGUAUAAACCCUCGUGUUCCUUGUCCCGCAUUAACCCCUUCAAGCUUCCUGGCUGCGAUGGCUCCACGACUAAGUCCUAGCUCGAGGACAUCUGCCGUGACAAUUCCACGACACCUCUCCUUCCCCAUGACCGGUCGGGUAGAGUACGAGUCCCCCCGGGAACGGGCGGCCCGCCGUGGUAAGCAAAGGAUAAGGGCCGCCGAGGCCCGUCUCGCAGCGAAAAUGGAGGCGGCCGAAGCGGCGGCGCGGGCGGCCGCAGAGGAGGAAGCCAUCCGCGCCCACAUUGUGAAGAAACGACAGCGGAGGAACAGAAUCGGGCGGUCCGUGCCAUGGCCGGACUGCCACCGAAGGAGGAGGAGGACAGCGACGGCUAGGACAGCUCCGGCGACGAGCAGAUCCGGCUUGAUCCGUACUGCGUAUUCGACCAGUACUUCCGCGAGAAGGACGGCAAGGGCAGCCGUGGAUGAACUCCAGCAUAGACAAACAUGCCAAAUUUUGGUAGUCCGAUGGCAUGUUUAGUGUAGUGUGAUGGUGUAGCCGGACGAUGCGUGUGCGUCGACGUAGUUGCAUGAGUUUGUAUGGAUUUGAGAUAUGGUAAUUGAGAUGUCCGGAUGUGGAUUGCCUUUUUUGAGGGGUGCCCGAUCAGUGCGCGCGGACGCGCCCGGGCGCGUCUGCGGGCAUUUGAGGUGCCGGAUUUGUCAAAUCCGGCCGUAGAUGCUGUUAGAUCUUUUAUUCAGACGAGGUGGAUUAAGAGGAUCUUUGUGACUGAUUGCUUUGCUACUAGGUCCGCACUGAGUAGAGAGGAGCAGUUAACGAACAACAAACUAAAUAAUGCCUCGAUUGCCAUGCAUCUGCAAAGUGCACAGGGCUCGCAGUGGUCAGUCAGGGGUCCACGUUUAUCAUGGCGCCGCAAAAGCUGGAAUGACAGAAAUGUUUGUGUAAAAAGAUCAUUAGAUUUCCAUGUUUCCUUUGUGCUCCGGUGAAAACGGAACACUACAAUGUUCAUACGCCGAGAUGACGGGAAGCAUGUGUUGCUGAGUAGGAGUGACACAGUGCAUUCCUCCUACGGUAGCUGUUUGCGAAAGCGCCAAACAUAAGACUCCAGGGGAAAUAAUCCGUUCGACCUUGGCAACACUUGUUAUGGGUCGGGGAGAGUAGUGAUAUUAUGUAAAAAGAUGUGGCACACAUCCGGUAUCUUGUGGGCAAAAGGAACAUAUUAACCAUGCAAAAAAAAGGAAGAACGUGAGAGAAAAUCUAUGUUUGACGGCACUCUCACGUAUUAAUAAUCAGUUUGUCUAAUUUAAAUGUAGAUGUUUUCUAAGGAUAUCACAUCUAACGUUCCACAAAUAAGUCAUCAACAAAAACAACACUGGGACAAAAAAUAUCACAAACAUAGUGAAAAUUAGGUUAGAUGUGACAUAAUUAUCUCACAUCUAGAUGUGUCCUAAACAGACUCAUUAAUCAUGUGUUACCACUCGUGCAGAGUCACAUGAUGAGCCAAAUAGAAAGAGAGAAAGUCACGAGCUCGUUGACAUGCACGCACGGCUACCCGCCUCUGUAGACUGCCCUACGCACUCGCGCGCAACUUUCGCUCGGCCGGCGGGGCAGGGCGUGAGGUCCACGGCUCCUAUUGCCGACCCAGAUCGCUGCUGCCUCGUCUACCUGCCAAAAGCCAGGUAUUGCUCGCCGCUUUCAACACGGCGCCGGGGGCCUCAUGUGGAGGGAGGAACAGGCGCACUUGAACAGUGCCCGCCUACUCCCGCUGUUGGAUCAACACAAAAUGCCACACACGCCUCGCCUGGGACGCCAACGCGUUCGUGUCAAAGGUGUUGGAGAAAUCAAACUGCAGACGGACGUCGAACUGCCAACAAGUUCACUGUACGCUGCCAUCGGUCUGGUGACCAUGGAUCAUGACGGAUCUAUCGAUUUGCGCGGCGCUUUUCUUUCAGUUAAGACGCAGCGCCAGUGCCGCCGGCCAGUGCACCCCGUCGCUGCCGGCUCCGCGCGCGUUCGUUGUUGGACCACACGACACGACCCGGGCGCUGUACCGGCGCGCGAUGUGUGUAGUGUGUAGGGGGCAUCGUGUGCCAUGUAACGUACAGUGUGACCACGCGCCGGUGAGCUACGUUGGGCAUCUACCUAUGGAGUGAGUUGCCGUCGGUCCACCUGAGGCUCCGCUCGACCCACCACAAUUAACAUGGAGCAUGACAUUUUUUUCACAAUGAAAAGCUUGGGAAGAAAUGCCGCCCAUUCAAUCACGAUCACUGAAAACAAACGGGAGAAGCGAGGAGGAGCGAGUGUACCAGAUGAUCGCAAUGAUCAUUCCUCCGGUUGCUGACGCUAGGUCCGUACUGAUCAGAGUAGCUAACGAACAACGAACUAUUCAAUGCGUCGAUUGCCAGCCGUGUCAACUGGAUCUGCCAAAGUGCAGAGGGCCGGCUCGCAGCGGUCGCCGAUCGGUCAGGGGUCCACGCUUACCAUGGCGCCGCAAAGCUGGAAUAGCAUGAGCACUCACGUGAAAUAAAAGGAUCAACAGAUUUUGAUGGCUCUUUUGUGCUCCUCCGGUGAAAACGAAACAUUACUUUGCUCCCGUUCAGUAUGUGCAGCUUUGCAAGAGCCCGGCGAUGUGAAAAGGACUUGCAGCUGCAGUCUCGCCCUGAACCGGCAGCGACGAUCAACGAGUGGCGCAGUGGUGCCACUGCCGCGGUCCUGCCGCCUGCGCGCAUUUGGCCGCGGACGUGCCCCAACGUCGACUGCCGUGCUCCGCACCGCACGGAACUGCAGUCGCGUCGUCGCGCACCCUCGCCUGACCCAGAGGAGGAACAGGGGCCGGGGCCGGCGUCGGCGUCGCCUAUGCUGCUGCAUCGGUCGCUCGCCCCGGUACGCCCCUAUGGCCCUAUCACCAACAAACCCGAAACUUUCCUUCAGUCCUCAGUGUUCUUUUCUCCCUGGCCAAAUCUCGGAACAAGGAAUGAAACUCUACCCUUGCUUCUCCAGUAAAAUCUUACUAGUAAUCAGAAACCCAGUGCUCUGUCUCAAAGAAACCAACAUCAAACGGCUGUUAUUUAGAAAUAAAGAUUCUCGUUAUUCUUCGCUUGCCUACAAUUUGUUGUCUUCACAUAUGCAUUUUGAUUUUCGCUAUUGGAUAUUAUACCAUAAAGUAAUGAAUGAUAGCGUAUUAUUAUUAUUAUUAUUAUUAUUAUUAUUAUUAUUAUUUUGAUGAAUGAAUGGCUGUCAAAAUAAGUUUUUCAGUGACUAUUUCAAAAGUUGACAGAACACAUGUUUUUGUCACCGUUUCAAAAUACUCGUUCGUCCAUUUUAGUUAUUUUAGAAUAUAGUUAUUAAAUCGAGCUCGCCCAUUUAGAUUAUUUUCAGGACACAUCUCACUUUUCAAAGAAUGAGAUAAGUUAUUUUAGAGAAGGUUUCAUUUAUUACAAAUGAUUUCGCUGUCUUAAAAAAUGACUUCAUCCAUUACAGUUAUUUCAGACAUAUUUGAUAGUUUCAAAAAUUGGGUUCACGCCUUUCAGUUAUUUAACAACAUAGUUCCCGUUUCUAAAAAAAAAACAGUUGUUUCAGAUAAGAUUUCGAUAUUCUAACUAAAUUCGCUUAUUCCGGAAAAGAAUUCAUAUUAAAAAAAGACUUCAUCCAUUUCAAAUAUUUCUGACAUAUUUCACUUUUUCAGAAAAUGAGCUCUGUUAUUUCAGAGAAGAUUACAUUUUUCGAAAAAAUGAUUUCACUCACUCAAGAAAGAUUUCACCUUUUUAGAAAAUGAUUUCAGACAUUUCAGCUAUUUCAGAGCCUAUUAUUUUUCAUAGCUUAAAAAAUUGAGCUCAUCCCUUUCAGUUAUUUAACAACAUAUAUCACUUUUUUUCAAAAAGAAGUUCAGUUGUUUCAGAGAAGAUUUCAUUGUUCCAAAAAUAGUUUGCACUUAUUCCAGGAAAGAUUUCAUAUUUUCAAAAAAUGACUACAUCCGUUUCAAUUACUUACUUCAGAACAUAUUUCACCUUUUUUCAGAAAACAAGGUCACUUAUAUAAGAGAAGAUUGGACUAUUCCAAAAAUGAAUUCAUUUACUCUAGAAAAUAUUUCACUAUCUGAAGAAAAUGAGUUCAUCCAUUCAGUAAUUUUAGAACAUAUUUCAUAUUUUCACCAUUUUUGUUCAUCCCUUUUAGUUAUUUAACAACAUAUUUCACUUAAAAAAACAAUUUUAGUUGUUUGAGAGUAGAUUUCAUUGUUCCAAAAAAGUUUUCACUUAUUCCAUAAAAUAUUUCAUAUUUCAAAAAUGACAUAUUUUUUCAAAAAACGAGUUUGGUUAUUUCAGAGUAGAUUCAACCGUUCCAAAAAAAUAAUUUCACCUACUGAAGAAAAGAUUUCACUAUUUCAAAAAAAAACGAGUUCAUCCAUUUUAAUUAAAUCUUUUCAAAUUGAUAAAAAAAUAAGUGAUUUCAACUUUCACAAUAUAUUUCAGUUUCAUUUAUUUGAGAACAUAUUUUACUGUUAUGUAAUUUUGAGUUCAGUUAUUUCAGAACACAUAAUUGCACACAUUUCAUUAAAUCAAAAACAGUUAACAAAUUGAAAAUGGAUGUUUCAAUCCAUCUCAAUUUUGUUUUCGCUUUUAGAACCGACAUUUCAAUUUAAGAACAUGCCUUUUACUCCAGAACGUGCAUUUCAAAACCACAAAGUUGCACAUCAAAUUCACAUACCACGGAACAUGUUCCAUUUUCGUAAAUCCGCACAUCAGUUUCACUAAAAUCUCAAAAUUUCGCAUGCCGGCAAUUGCAAAAGAUCACUUCAACCCACGAAUAGAGAGAGCCAUGAUAACCUCACACAAUAAAGCCAGUAAGAAAGAAAGGCAACCGGGUGUUAGGGUUUCUUCCCCUCCAACCGGCGCCGCCACUGAUCUACCUCGUCUCUUGGAGGCGUGCAGUGGAUCCUCGCCCUUGCAGGCGGGAGGGCUCAGGCUUCGUUUCUUGGCGUUUUCUACUCUGUUUAGUUAUCGUGUCUUGCUCAGAAAGGCGAGGCGGCGCCGACUUUCUGAGGACAGAAUAAGGUUCUCCCCGUCUGCUCUCGUCUCGGUGGUGCGACUUGCGUCGUCGGGGGAUUCGGUCGAUGUUUGUCUUUGAUGGAUCCCGUCUUCAUUCGUCCGUGUUCAUGUGUCUAUUAGUUGGAUCCUUUCGAUCUAUGCUUUUCUUCAUCGACGACGCUUGCUAUUCGGGUUAGUUGUUCGUUCGGGGCCUUAGCACGAUGAUUUUCCGACUGUCUGCUAUAAUAAAGUUUGCCUGGCUCCGAUGUGGGAGGGCGACAGCGGCAGCGUGCCUUCGGAUUGCUCCAGUGUUUCGGCGCACAGUCACCACCCAAGGUGACCCCCGACACAAGCGGACGAGCGAGACGGCGCCGGGUCGAGCCUUUUCCUCUUUGGCGGCAAGGCGGGUGGCCUGGCCGGGCAGCCGUUGCUGGCCGGCUCUGCUGUGACUGCUAACCUCUUCACUGUGCGACGCUGUAGCUCUCGCUGUGGAUCGCGGGUCGCUUUGCAGUGCUGCAGUGCGCCGCCGGCCUCGUCGCCCGCUCGCGCUGGACCAGUGCAGUGCAUGGACCGCUCGCUCCGAUCCAGCGGCGCGCCAUGGGCGUUGGUGUGGAGCAGUGGAGGGCAUCAAUAAUUCUACGUGCUCGUGCCCGCGCGGCGGCGCUGCGCAUCUACCCACCACCUUUCUGUUAUUACCGCGAGCCCACCCGGCUCACCGGAACACGGAGCUGGAUAAAAUGUCAAAAGAAAAAACGGGGGGGAUGUUGCAAUGAUCGUUUUGAAGAUGGUGCCUGGCCCCGGUUAGAUUUUUCAUUGAGACGAGGUGGAUCUUGCGAGCGAUUGCUCUGUACCUAGGUCCGUACUAGAGCAGGGCAGCUAAGGAAUAUCUAACUCAUUAAUGCGUGAAUUGCCAAAUGGAUCUGAAGAAGCGCAGGGGUCCACGUUUAUCAGGGAGUCCCACAGGAAUGGAUCUGUCGACGCAAAAAUAUCACCAGUUUUUCGUGCUCCUCAGUUCCUCCUGCGCUCAAGUCAAAACAGAGCGUCCUAUUAACGUUUUUGUACCAGGUGCAUGGCGCGAGCUGCGUGCGUGCCGCUGGCAAGGAAAGCUACCACUCAGGCAGGCAGCCAGGUGGUACUCCACCCAGUAGCCCGUACGCUGCGCGGCCGGUGCACCACCACACCACGUUGAGCAGCACGGCGGCCUUGCCAGAGCCCAGCGAUGGUGCGAGCAGGGAAAGAUCGCAGCUGCGGCCGCAGGCCGCAGGUUGCAGCAUGUGCUGAGCUGCCGGGCGGCAGCUACCGACGAUCCACGAAUGGCGCCGUGCUGUGGUGGUCACCGCGCUCCGCUGUGUGCCCGUGCCCCGACGUGUCCUGUACUGUACUGCGCUCAACUGCAGUCGCCCUCCCCUGAGGGGCAGGAGCUCUACCUGCAUCGGGCGCUGCGCCGCCACGGUCCAGGGAGGGUGCCAACGGUCGGUCGGUCUUGCGGUCACGCCCGAAUCAUGACGAGCCCAUUGAUUGAUGCCGACAUACCGGCCUCUGGCUCUAUAGCUCUUCAACGCCAACGAAUGAAGCCACGCACCUGCAUCUACUAAUCAGCAACUUUGGCGGGAAAAGAAAACUCUAUGCACAUUCAACAGGAUAAAUUGACAGGUGCUCAAAGAACCAGUGCUGAUCCUAAGAUUUUAGGGGCCGGGUGAAAUUAAAACUCUGGGUCUUUUACAGCAUCUACGGCCCGAUUUGGCAAAUCCGGUCCUUAUACGUUUGCUGACACAGCCGGACCACCCCUCAUAUGUCCUGUAGAGCAGUCACGUAUCUUAGGCCUUGUUCCGUUCAUGGGAUUUUCUGCCAUCCAAAGGAAAGUUUGCUUUCGUAGGUUUUCUUUCCUUUUAGCUGUUCGGUUGAAAGGAAAGGUACUCAACAUUCCGGCCUCCUUUGGUUCAUAGGGUAGGAAAAUCGUACGAACAGGAAAGUUAUAGGAAAUGAGAUGACAUGUAUCUCAAAUCCUAUGAGUAGGAAUAGGAAAGGAGAUGCCCUUUGAUUCACAUCAUUAGAUUUUUUUCAUUGUGUCUAGGCUAAUGUUUAUUUUCCUAUGAAAUGUGGAGGAUAGAAAGAAUUCCUCCAUAGGAAUAUGAUUCCAUUCCUACAAACCAAAGGGCUCUAAAGGAUUUUUUCCUAUAGAAAUCCUAUCCUAUGAAAUUCCUACAAGAUUCCUCUAAACCAAAGGAGGCCUCCAUCGGAAAGGAUCAUCAGCCAUGCAGAUUUUACAGGAUUGAACAAAUCCACCCCGGCCUCAUUUUUGGGCGGAGUCCCGACGAAGAGCAGAGGAAUUGCACUGUUGGUAGAAUAAAGUAUAUUCAAUCAUGUGGCUGAUCAUGAGGUGCAAGAAGAGAUCGACAGGUAGAGUGCAAAUAAAAUAUUGUAUUAGCCACUGUUCAUUACUUGGUCUUCAUGCGUUCUCUCUAGGCCAUCCGAACGCAAGUUCCGCUCUACUUUCCCUUCUUUUCCUGUUUCAAAGUUUUCAACUGUUCAUUCAGUCCGAUUCGUACGCAGUUUUUCUUUCCGAUGUUUUCUAUACCUGCACUCCGAACGGAGCCUUAAAUUCGGAUUAUCAAAUACAUGCAAAGUCAUGCACGUCCAUCAUACACGUCAAUGUCGCACGUGCAUAACAAAUGUUGGUAGCGGAAAUACAUAUCAGAAAACUGAUAUUAAGUGCGCAAAUUAAACAUUAGCUAUCUUAUUUUUAUUGUGGGUCCACAUAUGCUCCACAAGAUCAUUGAGUAGCCGCGCGUGCAGCUGGUGAUCUCAAAGAUUAUGAUGCAGAUGCAGAAAGUUCGUAAGCUGAUUUGCAUCUCGAUCUUUUGGGAUUUGAACUUGUUCUCCAGAUGCUUCAAAAUCAUUGGUUUGGGCUACCCAUCACCCUCAUAUUGUGUAGAUAACACAACAUGUCAUUAGCCGCCACAAAGUUUCUGAUUCCCGCAUCAUUGCAGCUCCACGAACAAUUCUCCAACGAGCUUGAAGCACUUCGAAUGCGCUCUUCACAUCCUUCCUAGCCGCUUCCUGCAUUGUUGCAAAGUGAUUUUGUUCGUUGCCUUGAGGUUCGGAUAUGGUCUUCUCAAACGCCGCCCACUUCUCCGUUCAUUGAGCCCUUAAAGUUAGAGAAUAUGCUUCACCUACGGUCCAUCUCCUCUUGCAUGCUCAUCAGCAUGAUCGUGUCCACUUCUUCAUCCAAAUCCGCCGAAUCGAAGAACUAAUCUUCAAUCAUUUUUUUCAAGCUUCGUCAGUCCAUACUCAUGUUCGACGAAGCAACAGAAUCCAUCGUUUUUCCUACGGAUGAAUCACAAAAAACCGGGCUGAACAAUGUGUCGAACACAUAGAGCGCAAGGGGUAGCCCGAAAGUUGCCGGACGUACGGUGGUGGCCUCCAGACUGGCGAUGAUGUCUGUGGCGGCGAGCACGGUAGAGAAGACUGGAGUGGCGGUGCUGAGUCUUGGGACAACGUCGGAGAAAGGGUGGCGGGGGAGGGGGGGGGGCUACAAGACGCCAGGCGCGGAGGAGGAAGAAGGGAGGAGAGAGCAAAUGAAAUCGGUAGGUUGAGGGGGUGGAUUUGGUGCAAAUACUGGUGGGGUCGUGGUGUCGGGUCCAACGUGGUGGACACGUCCGGACCUCCCCAUAUCCGUCCAUAUGGGUCGGUCAGCACGGACGUUUGAGUCCCGUUUAAGACAUCUGUCUGGGUUGAUUUUUUUUUACCGGUCAGUGACCGUGAUCGUCUGCCUGGAGCAUUGAGGGAGGGUUGAGGCGCCCGGGUCUAGAUGCUCUUAGAUGUUUUAUUGAGACGAGGUGGAUUGGGAGAAUCUUGCGAGUGAUUUGCUUUGGAACGAUGGUCCGUACUACUACGUUCCAGUAAAAUCAUGCUUCGUCCUGGUUUAUUGGCCCCCUUGUGUUUUGUCUAAAAACUUGACCAUAAAUUUAACUAACAAAAAGUUGAUGCAUGUCAACAAAAAAUAUAUCGUUAGUUUCAUAUUUGAACAUAGGUUUUGAUGAUAUUAUUUUUGCUAUGUAAAACAUGUAUUUUGCUAGUAAAAAUUAUGAUCAAAAUAUGACUCUAAAUACGAAGGGAACUAAUAAAUUAGGACGGAGGCAGUAGUAGAUAGGAGUAGCUAACAAACAACGAACUAAAUAAUGACUCGAUUGCCAGCCUUUUCAAGUGCAUCUGCCAAAGUGCAGAGGGCUCGCAGCGGUCAGUCAGGGAUCCAUGUCUACAAGGCGCUGCAAAGCUUGAAUAACAGAAAUGUUUGUGUGGAAAGAUCAUCUACUGCGCCGGUGAAAAAGACACUACAGUAAUCAUGUGACGUCUAGUUCGAGACACAGGUCCAUUAUUCAUGCGCCGAGAUGAUGGAAAUCAUGUGUUGCUGAGUAGGGGCGAUACAGGGCAAUCCUCCUACGCUAGUACUCGCUCGAUCUUAUAACAUAAUAGCAACUCCAACGGGCCGAUCUAAACGGACGGCGUUUUUGUCCGCUUUUUGUCUAUUUGGGUCGGCCCGGCGGACACAAACGUCCAGCGCUGUGUUUGGGUCGGCGUGAGCGCCCAACGCUGGCCCAACCCAUUUCGUCGGCGCGCCAAAAAAAGUAUUGCAAGCAUUUUAAAAAUAAAUACAUGCAUUUAAUUAAACACUAGUAAAUGUGCACGUGCAACGCACGUCUAGACAAACAUACAUGUAUUGAAGAAGCUGACUUCAGGCCAUCGUAUUUUUCGUUACAUAUGCAAUCGUUCAAAAUUUGCAAGUCGUAUUAUUACAAUAUUAUCCAAUAGAAGCUGGAAACCCCUUGUUGCACAAUGAAUAAUUUAAAGUGUUCAUCGCUAUUCUCCAUUUGUGCAGACACGCAUGCAAAUACCAUUUCAGUGCCAAUAAAAUUCAAUGAAUGACUAUCACUAUGAGAAAACCAAGUCCGUCAUCGACAAAAGUGAGAAGCGGCCAAUGUCAGACUGUAGAGAUAACACCCUGAAGGGAGUAUGAAGACUAAAAUCUGAAACAAACUGAAUAUCAUCUUCUCAAUGAGAAGAAAAAGACAACCUAUCAGAACCAAAGUAGGGCCUGUCACAUUUGUAAUGAUUAUACCUCACAUCCACACUUGAAUCUUGGAGUUGCUGGUUGUUGAUAUUGAAUUUAUGAACACAGUUUUUAAGUGCAGCCUUGUUGCCCUUCUCACUGUUAUGCGGAAUCGAAAGAUUGAAAUCAUUCCUAAGCAUGAAAUUUACAUGUAGCCUUGUCCCCUGUUACUGUUCUUCGGAUCAAAAAUUUGAAACGAAGAGCAACAAGAUCUUGAGGUACAACAUAUAGCAUCAGGAGAAAAAAUGGCUCAAGUUUGAGAACAAACAUAAACAGACAUGCAAUAAUCCUGAAGCUGUCACAAAUUCGAGAUCCUAGAUUAUGAGUAUGUAAUGCUUAAUAACAACCUCAUGAAAACGGUAUCAAUGUGGCUAAAGUUCAGGGAAAACAAUUCUUACAUUUUACCCGUAUUCUCUGCACUAAGGCAAACUGAUGCAUGAACACACUCCAUGUUACAACUUUAGAUCUUGUGGGUUUUUGUAUUUUUACUACAUUGUUUUUAUAUGUGCAAUAAGAAGCUCUCAUGUCGUUUUUAUCCAAACAAAUAGUCCAGUUCUAAUAUUCUCUUAACAAAACCAAAAUGCAGCUCUAAUGACAUUAAAAAACAUAAAUCUUCAAUUCCCAGGGAAAGAAGUAUACAAAGAACUGCGAUCCACAUACCUGUGAUCACCAAAACAGAAAGCAGGGAGGAUAACAUAGCGUCCUCAUAGUUGUGUCAUUUCUGCUAUUUGUUGCCAAGUUGCAGGCCAAUAUUGACAUAGAAGUUAAUUAGUGGAGUUAAAUAGAACUGCUAGCGAUCGGUGGCCCUUAUUUGUGAAUAGAAGGUAUGUCCAAAUAAUCUCAUAUAGAUCAGAAUUAAACGCAUACAAAUUUAGAAAACCCAACCAAAGGUCAACAUAUAAUAUAUUAAAGUACAAUGGAAGUACCAUGAAGAGUGGCAUCAUUAGCACGACACACAAACAACUGAAUACCAACACAUCUAUCAUCAUCUAUAUACGUUCCCUACCUACCAAGAUAAUACAUCAUUUCCUUCAAAUAAGUUCUAGCUGAACUUGAAUAUAUUUCAUUUGCAGUGCACAAUGAUUGCCGAGCAAAUAAAAAAAAUCAGAGAUUCAGGUUCAGAUCCUUUGAGUACCUUCAGUCAACCUUCUUAAGCUUCAUAGCCACAAAUGAACAGAUUUUUUUAAAGAAAACCAUUCUUAUCAAACUUGAUUUUCUUUUAGGGCCUGUCUAGGGCACAUCUAGAUGUGUACUAGUUAUUGCACAUCUAAGUGACUCAAUCAAACUAAAAAGGAAAAGAAAACUGUUUUAUUUAAGGUGUGCUAAAGAACACUUGUCGAUGUCCAGCAUAACCUAUGACAGGUCCGCCCAAGACCGUAGAUAGGCAUUAGGUCGAACACAUGAUCACCAGUACAGAGAAAACAUAGAAACUCCAUUUAGCUGACCUGUGCUCGGAACUGAUUCAACCUGAAAAAAUGGAUAGCAAUAGCUUAACCUGAGCAAUAGCAUCAGCAAGGAAAGUAAUAUGUAAUUACAGAGAGGUAAACACAUAUAUGUCCUCUCAAAAUACAUAUUCCAGUGAACUGUCAUUGUCUUACUCUCCUUCCUGUAGUAUUUAGAAUUCUUUUGAAGGAAAGCUUCACUAAACAAUUGACAAACUUGCAGGUACCAUUCAAGAGAAAAAUCAAGACAUGUUUUCUUAUGUAUUGACUAUGGCUAAAUAUCUCAUCAUUAACAAAAAAAAUCUGAAUGUGACAAUUCUGAAUUUAAAAAUGAAUAUGGAACAAGCUUAAAUAUAACUGCAAGAUGAGUUCUUGCAAACCAUGCCAUAGAGUGUACAUGGAGAUCUUCAGGUUAAUCGCAUGCAACAUGAAAGGUGCAAAGGAAGUAGCUGUGAGCGUAACAAAUGUUGGGCCUCAAUUAAGACACACACAAUGUCAGAGAAGACUUCGGUUGAGCAAGGCCAACAAAUGCCAAGACUUGUGAGAUAUAAUUGUAACUUCAUAAGGGAUCAAGGAGCUCGCUCGCAUCAUCUCUAGUACAGUUAAGCCUUGAUGACACACCUAUAAGGAAAAAAGUAGCAAUUGGGUGUAAUUCAGCAUCACAGAAUCUCACCAUCUUAGGAGAAAAGAUAAAAUUUGCGCAAUGGAGUUUUAAUAUCAGAAUCUAUAUAUCUUAGAUGUUGCAAGUCAAAAUUAACAGCACUAACAUGGAUGAUUUAUCCCCCGUCACCUUAGCGAGGCCAGAAGCGGUCACUGGGUUAGAAAAGCAUGGGGCUUCAUCGUUGUUUUGUCCCUAAGCAACAAAAUAGUGUGACAACAAAGUUGGUAUAGAUGCAUUUAUCUAGCUCAGCACUUAGAAACAGUGUUUACAUAUACGACAAUGUGAACUGCAGAUUGAAGGUGCCAUGGCCUUAAUUUAAAAUAAUAGCACCAUGGUGUGAUAAUCUUAUGGUGCUGAACACAAAUGUCGAGUAAGAACGAACGCCCAUUUUAGUUACAUUGAUACAGAUGAUCCAUUAGCGAUUUCAAAUAGGAUGCCCAGCAAAAUACCACCCCCACCGUAGAGCACACAAACAAAUAAAGGAAGAUGCUUGCAUGUCAUCCAAUAUUCUGAUCUAGCAAUGAUCUGUACCCUCCUAAUUAUCAUCAUUUAUUCACAGUACCUCCAAAAGAGCAAGAAAAAAAAGUAGUGACCAUGGUAAAGAAUUUACCAGCAUGAAAAGCUUGUGCUCCCGACUGUAAUGGAUAUGUUACACUUAUAUAUCCUGUGAACUGUAAAAUCAUGAUUUACUAAUUAGCUAAUUCUAAUAGUCCGUAACAAUAUGUAAAAAGUUGCCAGGAAACAGAAUUAUGAGGAAAUGCAUAAAUGAAUGUUUACCUUUAUGGUUCUGGUGAUAUGCACGAACGCUACCUCCUCCUUUCAUUGAAACUUCUUGGGCCUCGCAAUCCGUCGAAUGUAAAACACGGGUCUUCCUCCCCGGCGGCGACCAAAACGAUGAGCCAUGCCACCACGCUUCCCUCUUUUCUUUUCUCUCCUCCUCCUUCAUUCUCUAACCACCGGUGCAGCCGUACAUGAGGCAUCACGCCGCCACCGAAGUCGUCUGCACCCGCCGCCGCCGCCCCAGAUCCGGUCGCCUCCGCCUAUUCCCAGCAGCGACAGAAGUGCCGGCGUCCUCCACGAGCUCCUCCGUGUCGCCUCGCCGUCGCCGCCAUCGCCUUCCAUUGACCCGGCGAGAUGCGCCGCCGACACCUGGAUCCCGCAUCCCCGACCGCCUCGAGCUGCGUCACCCGCACUUCCGCACGGCCCAACAGUCGCAGACUCCGCGCUUAAGGAGAGGGUAGGUGGAGGAGCGCCGGGUGGCGAGCCGCUCCCAAGAACGGCACCUGGGGCCCUGAUUGUAGCGCCGACAGUUUUCUAGAUGAUCCACGUUGAGGCUUUUUGUUCGUGUGUUUGAGUUUAGAAGCGGCAGGAGGCAGGAUAUGAUGCAUAGAAGGAAAUCAUUUGCGUGAUUUCAGGAUCGGGAUCAUUGCCUUCCGUGAUUGUAGGGGACGCGGGAUCGCAGAGACUCCUUUCGUGGUGGAGUAUGGUCAGUCAUUGGAAAUCGCUAAGCGCACAUAAUAGAGGUAUUAAAUAAAUAAUGACGGUUAGAUUUAGACUUGUGGGCUAAUUGUGGGGUGUUGAUUGGUUUGUGAGGUGUUGUGGGACUAAUUAUGGGGUGCACGUGAGAAAGUUCCUGUUUGAUUGUUUAAUAGUAGUGGAGAUUUUCUCUCCUCCUCCUUCAUUCUCUAACCACCGGUGCAGCCGUACAUGAGGCAUCACGCCGCCACCAAUGUCGUCUGCACCCGCCGCCGCCGCCCCAGAUCCGGUCGCCUCCGCCUAUUCCCAGCAGCGACAGAAGUGCCGGCGUCCUCCACGAGCUCCUCCGUGUCGCCUCGCCGUCGCCGCCAUCGCCUUCCAUUGACCCGGCGAGAUGCGCUGCCGACACCUGGAUCCCGCAUCCCCGACCGCCUCGAGCUGCGUCACCCGCACUUCCGCACGGCCCAGCAGUCGCAGACUCCGCGCUUAAGGAGAGGGUAGGUGGAGGAGCGCCGGGCGGCGAGCCGCUCCCAAGGACGGCACCUGGGGCCCUGAUUGUAGCACCGACGGUUUCCUAGAUGAUCCACGUUGAGGCUUCUUGUUCGUGUGUUUGAGUUUAGAAGCAGCGGGAGGCAGGAUAUGAUGCAUAGAAGGAAAUCAUUUGCGUGAUUUCAGGAUCGGGAUCAUUGCCUUCCGUGAUUGUAGGGGACGCGGGAUCGCAGAGACUCCUUUCGUGGUGGAGUAUGGUCAGUCAUUGAAAAUCGCUAAGCGCACAUCAUAGAGGUAUUAAAUAAAUAAUGACGGUUAGAUUUAGACUUGUGGGCUAAUUGUGUGGUGUUGAUUGGUUUGUGAGGUGUUGUGGGACUAAUUACGGGGUGCAUGUAAGAAAGUUCCUGUUUGAUUGUUUAAUAAUAGUGGAGAUUUUCUCUCCUCCUCCUUCAUUCUCUAACCACCGGUGCAGCCGUACAUGAGGCAUCACGCCGCCACCGAAGUCGUCUGCACCCGCCGCCGCCGCCCCAGAUCCAGUCGCCUCCGCCUAUUCCCAGCAGCGACAGAAGUGCCGGCGUCCUCCACGAGCUCCUCCGUGUCGCCUCGCCGUCGCCGCCAUCGCCUUCCAUUGACCCGGCGAGAUGCGCCGCCGACACCUGGAUCCCGCAUCCCCGGCCGCCUCGAGCUGCGUCACCCGCACUUCCGCACGGCCCAGCAGUCGCAGACUCCGCGCUUAAGGAGAGGGUAGGUGGAGGAGCGCCGGGCGUCGAGCCGCUCCCAAGGACGGCACCUGGGGCCCUGAUUGUAGCGCCGACAGUUUUCUAGAUGAUCCACGUUGAGGCUUCUUGUACGUGUGUUUGAGUUUAGAAGCGGCAGGAGGCAGGAUAUGAUGCAUAGAAGGAAAUCAUUUGCGUGAUUUUAGGAUCGGGAUCAUUGCCUUCCGUGAUUGUAGGGGACGCGGGAUCGCGGAGACUCCUUUCGUGGUGGAGUAUGGUCAGUCAUUGGAAAUCGCUAAUCGCACAUCAUAGAGGUAUUAAAUAAAUAAUGACGGUUAGAUUUAGACUUGUGGGCUAAUUGUGUGGUGUUGAUUGGUUUAUGAGGUGUUGUGGGACUAAUUACGAGGUGCACGUAAGGAAGUUCCUGUUUGAUUGUUUAAUAGUAGUGGAGAUAAAAGCCGGCCACGAAGGCCGGCGAAAGUCCAUAUUACAUUAAUUAAACACUAAAAACUAGACGACGCGCUGCCCUAGGCGUCCUCGUCGGCGGCGGCGCUUGCGUCUGGACCGGUGAGGUCGAUCAACGUCGGCGCAGGGCCGGCCCAGGGGAAUGCCGUGUUCGAGAGGGCGGCGAUGUCGAGCUGUGCCGCCGCUGCCUGGGCCUAGCGCGCCUCCUCUUCGGCCUCGCGCUCGAGCAUCUGCAGACGCUCGCCCUCCCGGCGCCAGUGGUCGAGGUAGGCCGCCUCCUGCUUCUUCGUCGCCCCGAGCCAGAUCGGCGGAGCGCUGACCCACUCGCGCACUACUCCGGUCCAGGAGUAGCGCUCGAGGUAGGCCGGCUCCUCCUGUAGGAGAUAUGCCCUAGAGGCAAUAAUAAAUGAUAAUAUUUAUCUCCGAGUUCAUAAUUAUGUUUAUGUUCCAUGCUAUAACUGCUAUGGUUCUCGAGUCUGCAAUAACCACGAGGCUCGGAGGAAGACUCAUAUGCACGUGUGGAAUAAUAAACGGUAAAAUGUAUUCCUAGUCUGGCCUCUAAGACUAGCUCAAGUGUUGCAUGAUGGUUAUGUUUUCCUGAUCAUGGGCAUGUCUAUGUCAGCAACCUUGAGGGCACAAUGUUAAGAGAACAUUUGUGUUGAAUCGACCCGGAUUGAUGUUAUGCUAUGAGAUUCAUUCGUCACAAGUUUAUUGGUACAUAACACAGAGAUGGUUAACGUUUGCAUGAUUCCUUAGACCAUGAGAGUAUCGAGUUUCUUCAUGCUUGCUUCAUGAACUUUGGGGUUUGUUAAACGUCAUCCGUAAAUGGGUGGCUAUUACGGCGGCUUACGGGUUCAUGGAAAAGUGUGUCAAGUAACUUGAUAGCUCAAGAUUGGGAUUUGCUCCUCCGACGAUGGAGAGAUAUCUCUGGGCCCUCUCGGUGUUACGGUAUCCAUCAUCGUCUGGCCAGACACUUUGUGAUUUGAUCACGGGGAUGCCGGAACACGAUAACGAGAAAAGAGAACAAUACCGGUAACGAGGUAACUAGCAUAGUGGACAAGUUGUUGAUCCACGGGAAUGCCAAUAUGUCUCACCUCGGGUAUUUGUAACAUAUCGCGAAGCAACAGGAAUAGCACACGGCAACUGGAGGUUGACUCGAAUAUUUAUUCGUGUGGGUAUAGGGGGUCAAUAUGGGUGUCCACGGCUCCGAUGUUGAUCAUUGAUCGGAAGGGGUUCCGGGUCAUGUCUAUACUUCACCGAACCUAUAGGGUCACACGCUUAAGGGUCAUCUAUCUGCUAAAUACUAGACAGGGAGUCUGAGAGAAAAUCACCGGAAAAGUUUCGGACAGCGGAAUCGUACCGCAGAGAGAGGUCAUCGGAUAAGUUUCGAUGAUACCGAAAAGUUGUUUCGGGAUACACCAUUAUGUCAAAUUGGUUUCGGCACAUGCCUGAUAAUUCUUGGAGGAUGCCAGAAUCAUUCUGGAAGCUUUUUGUAAUUUUCUGAGAUAAAAACCGGAAAUGUUCCGGAGCUGCCGGAGCCACUUCAGAUGCGUUUCGCAGAUGAAAAUCACUAAAAACGGAAUUGUUUCGGAACGCGUUGAAAAUCAUUUUAGUGGGUACUGGAAAUGUUCUUAGCCCACAUAAAUAUUUUCAGUUCGAUCAGACGCUGAAAAAUGUCGUCGUGAAUAGUGAAAAUCAGCUUUAUGGUUACUUUAUAGAAAGCCACCUUUUGGGGCUUUGCUCCAAAAGAUCUUGGGGAUGACAUGGAUGGAUAGGAGCCAUUUUUUGGGCCCCUCAUGGGGGUGUGGCCGGCCACAUGGGGUAUCCCCCCUUGGGCACCCUCUUGUUCCUUGGUUUCACUCCUAGGUCCUUGUGGAAGGACUUCAUUCAUGUGCGUUUUGGGUUUUUUGUGAAACUACCCUACCCCCUUGGGAUUUCCUAUAAAUAGAGGUGGAGGGGCUACCCUCCACACUCAUCCCUUGCUCUCAUACACAUGCCAUGCAUUAUCUGGCUUCUUCUCUCCCUCCCACGAAAAGAGUUUCGUAGAGCCGUAAGGCUGUCUGGGUUCCGGCAGGGACUAGUUCUGGACGGCGAAGCCCUGCCGGAUAGAUGACACCGUAUGUGUGCAACUCUGUAGAGAGAUCGUAGUUUCGGUCUUAGUUCGUGAGUGCCUCCCGAAGGGCUGUCCAUGUGACCGUCCGAGUUUCGAAGGUCCUCCCGAAGGGCUGUCCGAGUGACCGUUCGAGUUUCGAAGGUCCUCCCGAAGGGCUGUCCNNNNNNNNNNNNNNNNNNNNNNNNNNNNNNNNNNNNNNNNNNNNNNNNNNNNNNNNNNNNNNNNNNNNNNNNNNNNNNNNNNNNNNNNNNNNNNNNNNNNNNNNNNNNNNNNNNNNNNNNNNNNNNNNNNNNNNNNNNNNNNNNNNNNNNNNNNNNNNNNNNNNNNNNNNNNNNNNNNNNNNNNNNNNNNNNNNNNNNNNNNNNNNNNNNNNNNNNNNNAGCAGAUAAGGGUAUACAUCCUCGCGGUUGGGAUUUGUAAAUCCUAGCUGCGGGGAUCUGCACCGCCGAUCGUCAUCGACUCUACUUCCCGCUGCGCUACGAGUCGGUAACGAAAAAGAUCAAACCAUGUAUGCAGUCUCCAUAGUGGUCCUGGGCUGGUGCGUAGGUCGGAAAUUUUUUGUUUUCUGCUGCGUUCCCCUACACCUCCGGCACGGCUUUGGGCGGGGACGGCGGGGUCACCGGCCGCACGACGCAGUUGCCCGCCGCGGAGAGGGCCAUGGCCUCCGCCAUGGCAGCCUCGAAAGCCGCCUCAUCCACCUCCCUCCACCGCUCCUCCUCCUCGCUCUCCUUAAUGGCCGACUGGUAGGCGGCCUCGGCCUCCCGGUCAUCGUCGCGGACGACGAGCGCGGGCGGCGGCGGGCUAUGGUCCACGCCGCGUCGCCUCGCCUCCUCGUGCUCGAAGGCGAACCAUCGAGCCCAGUUGGGCGAGUCGACGGCGAAGUGCGGUUCGGCGCGCUGCUCCGACGUCAGCAACGCCCGCCGGCGCCGCACCUCCUCCGCAUGGGCCCUCGCGGCCCGCGGCGCCGCCGGCACUGGGAUCCUCUCCAGAUCCAAAUGCCAGUCAUGCGGCAGCGUCACGUCGGGGUACGGCAGAGGCACGCGGUGGUGCCAGUGCCACUCGGCCUGGUGCAACGGCACGUUGAUGCGCUGCCUCUGCCGGGGAGCGCGCGCCGGCGCGGGGAGGGCGGGGAGGGAGGGGGAAUGGCGGGCGGGGGCCUUGCCCUUGCGGCUGCUGCCGAUGCCGGAGAAGAAGCCCAUGCUGGCGGUGGCUAGGGUUGUCGCCGUGGGGGCAGGGGUGGCCAGAUGGGGAAGGGGGGCGAGUGGAAGUGGAUGAGGACGGCCCCGCCGCACGCCCGGCUUAAAAAAGGACGACCGCCGUCGCUGACGCGUGGGCCCAAGGUGGGCGGUCAUCAUAAAUUAUGUUGACCGUCGUAGUUGGACGGCCGCCAGGUGGGGACGCGGCGGACGGCGAGCAGACACGCGGCGCGUCGCAUUCCAGGCGCAAUUUUGGGUCGGAAAUGGGUCGGGCGCGGACGUCGUGGUGGUGUUGCGGUCACUCCUAUACCACGUCGUCACCUCCUGCGCGGCAGUGCGCACAGGUGGGUACGCUCUGUGCACCGGUGGCUGUGCCCGUGCCCCAACGUCUCCUGUACCACACCCAACUGCAGUCGCGCUCCCUGACGCUGACGAGUAGGGGGCGGGGCCGGGGCCACUCAUCAGGCCAACUCCACCGCGCGACCCCAAAUGAACGUCUGUUUUGUCCGGUUUCUGUCCGUUUGGGUAGGGCAAUGAGGUCGUGUCCUGGGAUGCGGUGGCCGUGCGCCCAGCGCGCGGCCGCAUCCCUUUGCCCCAUCCUGUCCGUCAGGGCAAAAAUGCCCAUAUUUUCAUCAAAACUAGUUUUACAACCCAAAUAUUUGUCUGAAAAUUAAAAUAGUUUUACAACCCAAUUGAAAUUGUCUUUAAUAAAAUAGUUUUACAACCAAAUCGAAAUUGUCUUGACUGAACAUAAAAUGAACCAAUACAUCUAUUGGUUGCCAAUGUGAUCCCACACGUGCUCAACCAAGUCAUUUUGAAGAUUCAAAUGAGUGUGCCAAUCACGCAUCUCACGGUGGAAUUGGACAAACUGUUCAAAUGUGGCCGGGUCUUGGUGCAGGGGCUCAAUAUUUUCACCUUGAUAAUCAAAUCCUUGGUCAAAGAUACUCUCAUCACGCUCGUCCUCGACGAUCAUGUUGUGCAUGAUCACACAAGCAGUCAUCACCUCCCAAAGCUUCCUUUCAUCCCAUGACAUUGCAGGGUUUCAAACGAUACCCCACCGGGAUUGAAGCACACCAAAAGCACGUUCCACAUCCUUUCUAGCACUCUCUUGCAUUUGGGCAAAUCUUUUUCUCUUCUCACCUUGGGGUUUCGAGAUUGUCUUCACAAAAGUUGACCACUGGGGAUAUAUACCAUCAGCUAGAUAGUAUCCCUUGUUGUACUGGUGGCCGUCGAUCUCAAAGUUGAUAGGUGGGGAGUGGCCUUCUGCAAGCCUCGCGAAGACUGGAGAACGCUGCAGCACGUUGAUAUCAUUGUGAGAACCUGCCAUGCCGAAGAAAGAAUGCCAUAUCCAAAGAUCCUGCGAUGCCACCGCUUCUAAUAUGACAGUGCACCUGUUGACAUGCCCCUUGUACUGGCCCUGCCAAGCAAAUGGACAGUUCUUCCACUCCCGGGGCAUACAAUCUAUGCUGCCAAGCAUGCCUGGAAAGCCUCUAGCUGUGUUGGUCGCCAACAAUCUCUCUGUAUCAGCGGCAGUUCGCUGCCUCAAGUACUCUGGACCAAACACCUCGAUCACAGCCUGGCAAAACUUGUACAUUGACAUCAGACAUGUUGUCUCACUCAUACACACAUACUCAUCCACCAGAUCGCCUGGAAUUCCAUAUGCAAGCAUGCGGAUGGCCGCGGUGCAUUUCUGGUAAGAGGAGAAUCCAAGCUUGCCAAGGGCAUCCGUCUUGCACUUGAAAUAUGGGUCAUGAGCAACCACUCCCUCUCGGAUACAAUUGAACACAUGCCUUGCCAUUCGAAAACGGCGACGGAAUUUAUCCGGCUUGAAGAGCGGGGUGUUGGCAAAGUAAUCGACAUAGAGCAGGGCGUGCCCUCUCUCCCUGUUGCGGUUCAGGUUGGGAGCACGGCCAGGGACUGACCCCCUGUACCGAGGAAGCUGCCGUUGAAUGUGGUCGUGAACGACCAGUGCAGCCACCACAAGAUCUUCAUCAUCCGACGACGAAUCGUCCGAUGAACAAAGGAAGUGAUGGAAGAAAAACUCGUAUCCACUGUCCAUACCUUUGGGGGCAAAAUGUCGAACACCUUGCGGUCGUGGUGGCGAAGAGGCCGCGAUGAUCACCUCGACGCAGCAGGGGUGGUUGCCGGCCAGCUACUGGCCGCUCUGGAGCUCUCGUCGGAAGCUGCCGAGGCCGCCGUGGUACGUCGUCGGCGGUCGUGUCCCCUCUGCGACCAGCAAAGACGGCGACGGCCAAACCUCCUCCGAUCGUCGGCCAAAACUACGGCCAAAGCGCUGGCGUGGUGGCGGCCAUGUCGAGACGUGGUUUGGUAGGGACGGCCGGGGGCUGCGCGGUGAGGAGGCGGCCGGAGAAUAGCGGCGGCGCCGGCGGCAGGGCGGGGCGGGAGAGAGAGGGUGGAAGCGUUGGGAGCGGAGGGACUGCUAGUGUCCCCGACAGGCGGGCCACGGGGGGGACAAGGGCGUGCGUCCAGGCCGUCCGCGCGCAUCCGUUUCACCCCAAACCGAGCGCAAGUUUGGGCCGGGGAUGGGUCGAAAACGGACGGAAUCCCGACAUUUGUCCGUUUGAGGCCGCGCGCUGGGCCGCGCUAUUCGUCCGUUUUAUCCCAAACGGACGCGCGCGGACAUGAUGGGGUCGCGCGGUGGAGUUGGCCUCAUGCCCUACUACCCUUUGAUAUUCGCUCGCUACGUCCGGUUUUUUUAGGCUCUCCCACGUUUUCAGCCAAAAAUUAACUGCAUAUCUGUGUAAUAAAAUUUAGUUUAUAUGUAAAAGAUAGUUCGGAAAUUUUCAUUCGAAUACGAAUUCAACAAUACCGUUUGUAUGAUAUAUCACUUAUAUUCUGCAAAUCAAAUCUACAGACAAAGUUUAACCAAAUAAAUCUGAACUGAUGUAGUACCGCCAUACCGGCAACUAGACGCCUUCGUUCAGUCUAAGUUUGGACUCAUCUAAUCAGUAACCUUGGAAGGAAAAAAACCUCUAUGUUCCUCCAUGAAAAACCAAUAGUAUUCAGCUACUGCUAUCCUAAUCAGCAUCUCCUCAAAAUUUUCCAAUAGUGAAUGGCUUAAAAAGGAUUAUUGCUACUCUUCAUUUUGCAUGUGUUGGUCUCGAUUGUGUAAUUAUGUUGAGCUCCAAUCGCUUGAUAGAACGAGGGAAAAGGAUCGGAGGCAUCGCGGUAGAUGCGGCAUCAAGACCUGAGAUGGAGGUGGCUACAACGCGGAGCGACCAUGAUGGUGGAGGCAGGGCUAGAGGGUUGGUGAUGGGAGGAGGCACACUAAUGUCAGAGCGAAACCCAUGCCCCACUUUUAAGUAUUAGAGAGAUAGACGGGGGCGAAGAUAGUCAUGGUAGGGUUGUGUGGCAGGAAAGUAGCACCACGGUCACGACACGAAUCCGGUGGACAAGGUCGAAGGAGGUUCGACAAAGUGAUGACACCCAAGACGAAGUAAGACAUGAAGGUAACCUGUGCUGCUGGAUUCUAAUGCAUCGGAUGGAAAAGUAAUUAAAAUAGAAGAGGAAUCAGCCAACUACUACAUCAUAUUAUAAAAGUACUAGGUUGACUUUUGGAAAUGCCCGUUCCGAUAAAACAUGUUCACCCUGUUUUAGUAAUUUGUUUAUCUAGUUUGACAUUUUAUUGUGUAUAUAUUGAAAAAAAUCUAAAAUUCUAGUAAACUAACCACUAAGGAUUAGCUAAAUUGACAUGUGACCCGUCAGUAGCGCACCAAACACGUAAUCUCCUCGUCGGAAAUAAAGGGCGGCUAAGGUUCUUCCUUAGGGUCGCCGCCGCCGGUUCCCCUCACCUCUGAAUGCCUUCCAGCGCCGGUGAUGUGGAGGAAACCCACUCCAAGUUGUCUAUGUAGUAUCUGAUUGCCAUAACUCUUCUUAGGGCUAACUCUAUGUGCCUGGCAGGCGGUAGUGAGGCGAUAGCACCAUCGACAACGAGAAACAGGCUCUCCCCCGUAAUGUCCUUGUUCUGGCAAUGUCAUUUGUCAUCGGCUCAGGCAUGUGGAACCUGAGUCAAGGCUGGAUAUUGUGUCUCGUUUUUGUCGAUGUCCUACGUAGGGUAUGAUGUGGUGACAUUUUUUCUCUUGCGGUCCCUUCUCUGUUUGAGGUAGCUUGACCAGAUGGGGCUUCGUCAAGUUUUUAUUUUUGCGGGUAGGAAUUUGUAAGGUUUGUGUCCACCUCCUUUGCCUGGUAGGAGUUGACAGUAUCGUCUGAGCCUUCUUCUUGUCGGCUUCUCCGGAAUGACGAUAUGCCCAACGUGAUCGUCGGUGUUGCAGCCGAUGGAUGCACAAUGAACACGGCGACGAUUUCCUCAAGGAUUUGAGCGUGUUCUUUUAUUCUUAUAUCAGAGCGGUCACCAUCCUAGUACAAAACAUCAUCAGCUGACCAGACCACACUAAUUUUUGUACAAAUUACUCGCUCCGUCCCAUGAUACAAGACCUUAUCACAUCCAAUAUGUGGGACGGGAGGAGUAAAAAAGACAGCCAACCAAAGCACAAAUCACAAUUGAAGCCCCAAGUAACCUAAAAGCCCCCUCCAGUAAGCUCAAAACAUAAAACCGCCCCCCUCCGAUCGCGAGUCGGGAACGCCGGAGGGCGCGAGCGCAUUCCUGUGAGGGACGCCGAAGCUACUCGCUAGCACGCGCACACACACACGCGGCCACCGCUCCACGUAUGAUCCCCAACACACAAGCUGACGAACGAGACGAUGCCGGGUCGAGCCUUUUCCUCCGGCUGGCUGACCUGCUGGGACUGCUAACCACUUCACUGUACGCUGCUACUAUUGCGAUCGCUAUGGAUAAUUGGAUCACGGAUCGCUUUCCGCACCGCCGGCCUCGUCGCCCGCCCGCUCGCGUUGAACUUGGACCAGUGCAGCGCAGUGCAUGGAACUACGCGAGCCCUCGGGCCGAUUCCGAUCUAGCGGCCUCUAGUGUAGCUGGACCACUCGCUCCGAUCCAGCGGCGCGCCAUGGGUGUUGGCGUAGAGAACAGCGCAUCAAUAAUUGUGCUGCUACGUGCGUGUGCCCGCGCGGCGGCGCUGCCGGCACAUCUACGGAGCUCACCGGAAAAUGGAGCCGGUGAAAACGUCAAAGGAGAAACUUGUGGGCGGUGGAAACGCUGUCCAUCCAUUCACUCUAAGCAAUGGGAGAAAGAACCAGCGAGUGUGCCAGAUUGUAUGUAUAAUGAUCGUCCUGGACGUUCUGCAUCCCAUGUUAGAUUUGGCAAUGGUCAUCCUCGACUGGCUGCGAAUGGCGCAGGCCUCCGGUUAUAUCAUUUACUGAGACGAGGUGGAUUGGGUGGAUCUUGGCGACUGAUUGCUGUGCUGGGUCCGUGUACUGAGUACUCGUACAUCAGAGUAGGCACGUACAACAACGAACUAAUUAAUACGUACUCGUGGAUCUGCCAAAGUGCAGAAGGCUCGCAGCGGUCGGUCAUGGGUCCACGCUGAUCAGGGCACCGCGACAGUCCAAAACUUAUACGUAACAGAGCUACUCUUAUGAAAUUGAGAGCAUCUAUAACCGGACUUGGUAAAUUCGACCCUUCAAACACCCGCGGGCGCAUCCGGACGGACCCUCAUAUUUUCUUUCACGCAUUCACAUAUCUCAAAUCCGGACUCUCAACUUCAUGCAAAUACAUGCACGUCGAUCAUGCAACACAAUGUCGUACGUCAAUAACAAAUGUUGGUAUCGAGCAUAUAUAUGUUUACAUAAAAUUUAUUUGAAGUGUCAAACUCAAGCAUUGCCUCUUUGGUUGUCAUUAUGGAUCCACAUGUGCUCCACAAGAUCAUUGAGUAGCUGCGUGUGCAUCUGCUGAUUUCGAAGAUUCCGAUGCAUCUGCAGAAAAGUUUAUAAGCUAAGCCGCAUCUUGAUCUUCCGGGAUUUCAACUUGUUCUCCGGGUGCUUCGAAAUCAUGGGUUUGGGCUACAACAUCACCCUCAUCCUCGAUAAUCAUAUUGUGCAGAAUAACACAACAUGUCAUCAACAACCAUAAAGUUUCCGAUUCCCACAUCAUUGCAGCGCUCCGCACAAUUCCCCAACGAGCUUGAAGCACACCAAAUGCCCUCUCCACGUCCUUCCUAGCCGCUUCCUGCAUUGUUGCAAAGUGGCUCUGUUUAUUGCCACGCGGCUCGGAUAUGGUCUUCACAAACGCCGCUCGCUGAGGAUAGAUACCAUCGGCAAGAUAGUAUCCCCAUGUUGUAGGCGGCCGUUGACGGUGUAGUUGCACGAGGGUGAUUCCUCAUUGCAAAGCCUCCUGAACACCGGAGAUCGUUGAAGCAUAUUGAUGUCAUUGUGAGAACCGGACAUUCCAAAGAAAGCAUGCCAAAUCCAUAAGUCAUGUGAUGCCACCGCUUCUAGUAUGAUGGUGGCCUAUUUGGUGUGACCUUGAUACAUUCCCCGCAGACCUUUGGGGCAGUUUUUGCAUUGCCAAUGCAUGCAAUCAAUUGAUCCGAGCAUUCUUGGAAACCCCCUUGCCUCUCCAAUAGCCAACAACUUCUCCGUGUCCUGCGCAUUUGGUUCUCUGAGAUACUCCGGUCCAAACACCUCAACCACGGCGCGAGCAAAUUUGAUAGUAGUCUUGAGGCACGUGCUCUCCCCCAUCCUGACCAUCUCACCAAUGACGUCUGCAGCAGUACCAAGUGCGAGCAUCCUCAGAGCAGCCGUGCACUUCUGCUUGACCGAGAAAUAGAUUUGGCCGCAGCAAUCCCUUCUCAGCUUGAAGUAGUCGUCGUGUGCCUCCACUCCCUCCACAAUGCGCAAAAACAAUGGUUCCGCAUGCAUAAACGGCGACGAAACCAUGGAUCAUCCGGGGAAGCAGGUGAGGGAGCAAAGUAGUCAUUGUGGAGUAGCUUUGCUCCAGACACUCUAUCCCGGUUGAUCACUCUUCUCCCUUUGAUUGAGCCGUUGAAGUUGAGAAUAUGCUCCACUUGCCGGUCCAUUUCCUCUUACAUGCUCAUGAGCAUGAUCAUGUCCACUUCUUCAUCCGAAUCCGACGAAUCGAAGAACUCAUCUUGAAUCAUUUGGUCAAGCUCCGUCGGUCCAUACUCCUCGUCCCACGAAGCAUCGAAAUCCAUCAUUUACCUAAAAAAUCACAAUAAUUCCGGUCGGUCAAUGUGUCGAACACAUCAAGUGCAAGGCUGAGCCGGAGAGUUGCCGGACGUACCACGGUGGCGUCCGGGCCGGCAACAACGUCCCCCCGCAGCAAGGACGGGAGCGCUCUUCCGGAGCUGACGGCGGAGAGCCCGGGAACGGCUGCAGAGCGGGCGCGGCGGCGGAGCUGCAAGCCGGACGGCGCGGGCGAGGAAGAACAGAGGAGAGAGCAAAUGGAUCCGGCAGCUCGGGGGAGGGGGGGAUUUGGUGCAAUUUGGGGUGGGUCGGGUUGUUGGGUCCGACGUGGCGGGUGUGCCCGAGCGCGCCCGGGCGCCCCCAUAUUCGCCCCAUAUUUGGGCUGGAUAUGGGGGGUGCCAGUCAGCCCGGGUGUUUGAGGGCUGUUUGAGAGGCCCGUCUGGGUCAAAAAAUCGUGACCGAGCAGCACAGAGCGGCCUGCCCGGGCGUAUAAGGCAGGUUUGAGAGGUCCGGUUGUAGAUGCUUUGUCAAGGCAAAAAUAUCAUCAGAUUUUCGUGUUUCUCUUCUCCUGUGCAAACGGAACGUACUACUCACUUCAUUCCCUUAUAUGCAAGACCACUACGAAAAAUAUAUUUUGCAUCUAUACAUGUAUACAUGGCCACUAACAGUAAUCGAAGAAAAAAUAAUGAUGUUUCCUUAUACUACCAACUUGUUUAAUAAUUGCAUGCAUGUAGUCAUAAUGACACUGUGCUACUGCCUUCUCAUUCCUUUCUUGCAUGUUGGCGUAUUAAUGAUUCUGGUAAACAAAAAGAAAUGUUGGAUUGUAAAGCAGUCACUAAAUUUUACCUUUAUACCUGUAAUUUGAGUUUGUGGCCUUGUAUAAAGGAAUGGAGUACUAAGAAUUUUGCAAGAAUGACAGUUUGGUAACUGCAUCGUUUCGUGAAGUACCUCGAUGCAUCAGUCGGCGACACAACGAUCUAAGCAAGGCGUUAGAGCAUGUACAGCCGAGCGCUCCAAACCGGCCUCAAACGCCCGACUGGCCCACCCGGUUAUGACCGGUCACGAAAAUCUGACCCUAACGGGCGCCUCAAACGGCCUUGAAAUGUCCGGGCUCACCGGCACCCCUCAUAUCCACCCCAAAUAUGAGAUGGAUGUGGGGGUGUCCGGGCGCGCCGCCACGUAGGAGUGACAAUGGGGUCCCAUGCGGAAUCGCCCGAACCCCGACGGUCCGACGGACGCCCCCUCCGUCACCGCGGUGUGAACGCCUUGUGGCGUCGCUCCGGCUCGUCGCCCGAGGCUAAAUCUAUUUAAGUCGGUUGACGUCCCCCAACCCUAGCCCAUCCACAUCCUCACUCUCUGUGCCGCCGCCCGAGCCAGUCCGCCUCCUUUCCCCCGCUCUCCCAUGCCCUCCGGCAUCACCAUGGUCCGGUGCAAGUUCACGAGGUACGCUAUGCUCACGGUGGAGCGCCACAUGUAGAGCGUGGAGGAGAUCCAGGCAAGGCGCGCCACCCACAUUGCUGUCGGGCUGCCUCCGGACUUGCCGAAACCAGAGGAGGAGGAGGAGGAGGAGGAGGCGGCGGAGCAGCCUGCUCCGCGGUUCAACAUGGUGGAGGUGAAGGCGGAGUUCACCAUUGCCCAGUCCGCGAAGAUGUCGGAGCAGCAGGCCAUCCUGGAGUCCAUCCAGGAUGAGGCCUAUGUGGAGGCCAACCGACAGUUCUUCCGGCACGUGCAGGCGGCAUCCGACGCGCUCUUCGUUGAACUCGACGCAGAGAUAGAGGAGGAGGAGGCCGGAGCGGAGCAGUUGAGACGUCGGAGCUGCAGCUGCCGCCCAUAUACCCGCAGCCGGGCACGGAGAUUGUCUACAUCUCCGACGAGGAGUAGCUAGAUCAUCUAUGUAGUUUGUAUGCUUUUUUAUGGAUUUGAGAAUUUAGUAUAAGAUGUCCGGAUCCAGUUAUGUUAAUUUGAGGAGUGCCCGAUUACUGCUCAUGGACGCGUUCGUUUGAGGGGUCAUAUUUGUCCUAUGCUGUAGCAGAUGCUCUCUAUGGUGCGUUAUCCGAUCAACGAGUGAAAAAACCCAUUAGUUCUCCCCCGCGUCGCCCUUCCUGGCGACACGGGGGAAACCCUAGAUCGAGCGCCCGCAACCCCCCUUCUUCCUCCCCCACGGCUCGCCGCCACCAGAGGAGCGGCCGGCAAAGUCCGCGCCGGCUCCAGGGAAGGUGGCGGCGGGGCCCUUUUCGUUCAACCAGCUAGCAAGGCGCACGGCGAGAGGCUGCUGCAACGGUGGCGUGGGGCAGGGCCAUGGCGGCGCGAGGCCCGUGUGCUCGCGAGGAGGCCCUGGCCGGCGCGCCGUGGCGCGAGAUCCGCGCGGCGAGAGGCUCUGUGGCGACAAGAUGGGCGCGGACGGCGCCCCCAGCGCGGAUCUGCUGGGUGGCCACCUUGGGGGUUCCUGGGUCUGCGAUGGUGCGAGAUCCGCGCGGCAAGAGGCGCCAGGAGGUCGCGGUGGGUUCGCGGCGUGUGAAGGCUUGGCGUCAGGGCUGUAAGGGACCCGCAGUUGCCGGAGCUGAUCUGGUUUCCGGCGGGCCUGCGGCCAGUUGCUCGCCGCCCGACGGCGUCUGGAUGGUGGAGGUGGUAGCGGUGGUGCCGACGGAGGUUGGUGGGCUCCUCCCUUCGAGCUUGCUCACGUCCGGCUCCUGGAGUAGGGGCGCCGUCAAGCCUGGUGCAUGACGAGUCUCGAGCAAACCAGAUCCAACACGGACGUCGGGUCCUUGCGCGCGGCGGUGCGGGCCCGUUGCUUUUGGCUUGGUUUCGCCCUGUUCCGGCGCGCGGCGGCGCGGGUCGGUCUGUUUUGGCCAGGCAUUUGUUUUCCUGUUGCGCCGCGGUGCGAUCUCUCGCCCAGAUCUGCGCAUGGAGGCAGAGGACGGCCAAAAUCGACUUGGUUCGCCCAGGUCCUGCGUGCGGCGGUGUGGACUGGUCAGGGUGGCGUGAGCUCGCUGGGAUUCUGCGUGCGGCGGUGACAAUGUUCGUGUUUGGUAGUGUGUGCUUGGUCUUGCUCUGCCCAGUGGCGCUUGGUUGGUCUCGGAUCCUGGAUGGCUGGUAGAAGACUCGGCUCCGGAUGAAAAUCCUGCAUUGACUCUGUCGAUGCCAACGGUAACGGCAUCUUCAGAUGUCGUCUCCUUCCUUGGAGGUAUCGUUGUGGAGGUCGUUGCUCUUCCUACCCCAUGGCUGAGGUCUCCGGGCGAAAGCCUAAGAUCUGGCUCAGUCAGAUCGGGUGAUGAAGAUGUCCUCAACAUCACUUCCUCCUUGGAGGCGUCAUCUUGGAGACCUCGACGAUGGAUUCCGAUGGUGUGCAUGGUUGCUGGAGGAGCUUGGGUUUGUGGUGGUGCCGGCAGGAUCUUUUUCGUUUCUUUCUUUUUGCACUAGCCC
rnacentral:lncRNA from 1 species